UGUUUUUUAGUUUUUACCGAUUAAAGACAAAUGUACGUCCAUUUCAUAUAUAUAUAUANNNNNNNNNNNNNNNNNNNNNNNNNNNNNNNNNNNNNNNNNNNNNNNNNNNNNNNNNNNNNNNNNNNNNNNNNNNNNNNNNNNNNNNNNNNNNNNNNNNNNNNNNNNNNNNNNNNNNNNNNNNNNNNNNNNNNNNNNNNNNNNNNNNNNNNNNNNNNNNNNNNNNNNNNNNNNNNNNNNNNNNNNNNNNNNNNNNNNNNNNNNNNNNNNNNNNNNNNNNNNNNNNNNNNNNNNNNNNNNNNNNNNNNNNNNNNNNNNNNNNNNNNNNNNNNNNNNNNNNNNNNNNNNNNNNNNNNNNNNNNNNNNNNNNNNNNNNNNNNNNNNNNNNNNNNNNNNNNNNNNNNNNNNNNNNNNNNNNNNNNNNNNNNNNNNNNNNNNNNNNNNNNNNNNNNNNNNNNNNNNNNNNNNNNNNNNNNNNNNNNNNNNNNNNNNNNNNNNNNNNNNNNNNNNNNNNNNNNNNNNNNNNNNNNNNNNNNNNNNNNNNNNNNNNNNNNNNNNNNNNNNNNNNNNNNNNNNNNNNNNNNNNNNNNNNNNNNNNNNNNNNNNNNNNNNNNNNNNNNNNNNNNNNNNNNNNNNNNNNNNNNNNNNNNNNNNNNNNNNNNNNNNNNNNNNNNNNNNNNNNNNNNNNNNNNNNNNNNNNNNNNNNNNNNNNNNNNNNNNNNNNNNNNNNNNNNNNNNNNNNNNNNNNNNNNNNNNNNNNNNNNNNNNNNNNNNNNNNNNNNNNNNNNNNNNNNNNNNNNNNNNNNNNNNNNNNNNNNNNNNNNNNNNNNNNNNNNNNNNNNNNNNNNNNNNNNNNNNNNNNNNNNNNNNNNNNNNNNNNNNNNNNNNNNNNNNNNNNNNNNNNNNNNNNNNNNNNNNNNNNNNNNNNNNNNNNNNNNNNNNNNNNNNNNNNNNNNNNNNNNNNNNNNNNNNNNNNNNNNNNNNNNNNNNNNNNNNNNNNNNNNNNNNNNNNNNNNNNNNNNNNNNNNNNNNNNNNNNNNNNNNNNNNNNNNNNNNNNNNNNNNNNNNNNNNNNNNNNNNNNNNNNNNNNNNNNNNNNNNNNNNNNNNNNNNNNNNNNNNNNNNNNNNNNNNNNNNNNNNNNNNNNNNNNNNNNNUAUAUAUAUAUAUAUAUGUAGAAUAAAACCCACCAAUUUAUUCUAUAAUAAGAUGUUGUAGUUUGUCAAACAAUUUAUUUUUCAACAAACCAACUCGAGCAACAUCCGAUUUAAUUACUAAUAUAUAUACCCAAUAAACUUUCAAUUAUUGCAUUAACUACUCAAUAGAAUAACUCAAAGUACAAGCGAAUAAUCACUUUAUUCUUUGAAAUUUAGUCCUCCAAAUUUAUAAAAUAGCAAUUUAGUAUCUUAAAUUUAAAAAUGUCAAUCAAUUUAUUAUUUUUUUCAAAAUUUUCGCUAUAAUUUUAAAGGUUUUAUAAUAAUUAUUUUAAUUCAACAAAAGACGAUUUGAAUUAAUAUGUAUGUCUUUUGAUAGAUUUUUAUUAAUAAAUAUUUGUUGGAACGAUCAUUAGAAUCAGUGAUCCCUUAAUACUACAUAUAAAAAUCAUAGCUAUAAUGACACCAAUAAUCUGCAAAAGCAUGAUUACAUAUACAUAAAAAUUAUUUGAACUUCAAAACGAGUUAGUAGUAAUAGGCUUGUAAACUGUGAAAUUUUUGCUUCUUUGUACAACAAGCCACUUAUCUAUUAGCUAUGUUAAAAUCAACCGACAUGUCAGUGUCCUAUUUGAUGUCUUUAUCUUAUUCGGCGCAUCAUAGUUUAAAACUAUGUUCGGUAAAAAAAGAAUUUGAAGUAUUGAUUGAUGUAUGAUAAAUAUUUAAUUUAGGAUUUAGCUCUUAGCAUAAAAGUAAAAGUAAAAGUAUGUUUUGUAUUUUCUUUCUUUACAACAUAAUGAUUAAAACAAGUAUAUGAUACAUGAGAAAUAAAAGUACAUAAUAAUGUGAAGGAAUCUAAAACACAAAUACAUCAUCAAACAUCUGACCAUGUAAUAUCAAGACCACCCCAUUGAUCUUGAGGCACAUCUAAAGCUUUCCACACAGCUUUGGAAGCAUCAACAAUGUUGUUUGGACAAGGUGGUUGGUAAUCAUGUUCUUCAUCACAUCCCUUUGUAGAGUCACACUCAUCAACGACCAUGGCCACAACACUCUUGCCAUUUCCACUUAUUGUAAUAUUGUUGAGACACCUACUCUUGUGGUUGAACCAUCCGGUGGAAAGUGCCACCACUGGAGUAUCAUCGGAAUGAUAUUGUUUGUCACAUUCUGAAGGGCCACCUCCAUCACCACCCUUUUGGAAACUAUUAAGAGUGAGAUAUGCUUUGGUAUAAGUAGAUACCAUUGGUGAACAUUCAUAAGUUGUGUACAUUUUUCCUUGUACGCAACAAUCAGAAUCAUUCUCUUGAUUACAUUGUCCUGGAGGAGCUUUCUUUCCUCUAAUUCUACCGUUUGGGCGACAAUUUUUAGCUUCAGAGUACACACAACUUGUUAUGAUAAGUGUGAUAACUAUCAAAAGAAAAGAAGGUUUGAGGCAAAAUCUCUUCAUUUUUGGCUAUGUGACUCUAUGUUUCUCCUUUUUGUUGUUCUUCUUAGUGUUUGAUGAUUUGAGGGAGAUUUUAGUGGGUAUAUAUAGAUAGAACUUCCCUCUCUUGGUGAAACAAGCAAAAGAAAAGCAUAAAUAGAAGUUAGAUCAAAGGUCAAAUGUAUGUGUUCUAUCAUGCUAUGUUUAGCCCAAAUGAUCACUUUUGAGGUCAAAGAACAAGUUCUACACUACCUUCUUUUGCCAUAUUCUUGUGGUUGGCUCUUUUAAGGCUUUUAAAUUAUUGACAAAAGAUAUGAUGAUUUAUUAAGAUGCAUACUGUUAUAUCGGUAGAAUUGAUAUACAGUUGCAAAUAAAUUAGUUCUUUAUUAAUGCAAUAUUUAUUUUUAACACUAGCCAUAACUUAUUAUUAUUAUUAUUUAGAUUGAAUUUUUAUUUAUUGUCCGACACUUACACGUAAUUAUUAUCAAAAUCAACAUGUAAGUGUUGUGUUUGAUAUUCGUAUUUAUCAAAAUCAACAUGUGAGUGUUGUUUCAUUGUACACUUAUAGGUUAAUUAUCAAAUGCAGAUGUAGUUGUAAAUGAAUCAUAUUUCUUCUUUGUCUUAUAGAAACUGCCAAUUGCAUGAUAAACAAUAACGAUCAAUGGCUUAAUAAAAACAGAGUUGUUGUCUCUAUGUGAAAACAAAUAAAAUAAUCAGGGAACGUAUUUAUUUUAUAAACAUGUGAUUAAAAUAUUCUUAAUAUCAAUUCAAAGAAAACUAAUUGUUGGUGCACCGUACUGUAAGGACUUUUCUUUUUGUAGUUAAUAAAAAUCAAAUAUUAGUAUUACUUUAUUGUAGUUGUUAUUUGGACUAUACAAGACAAAGUAGGACUCAUUGGCUUGACCUCAAAAGAAACAUUUUAUUUUCUUAUCUUGUUAUUAUUUCAUACACAAAUUAACUAUUUACUUUACCAAUAGAAGGAGUUCUCUUACUCUAUAUAUAUCCAUUAAAAUCUCAUUCUAUACAUCAAUCACUAAUCCAAAAAGAGGAGAAAGGCUAUAAUUUAAUAGAUACAAUGAAGAGUUUUUGCUCCAAAACUUAUUUCUUUUUAUUGAUUACUCUCAUUUUAAGUAGUAUGUACUAUUCUGAAGCUCAACAGUGUCGUCCAAGUGGUAGAAUCCAAGGAAAACAAGCUCCACCUGGACAAUGCAACACAGAGAAUGAUUCUGAUUGUUGGGUGCAAGGAAAAAUGUACACAACUUAUGAAUGUUCACCAUCGGUGUCUACUUACACCAAUGCAUAUCUCACACUUAAUAGUUUUGAAAAAGGUGGUGAUGGAGGUGGCCCUUCAGAAUGUGAUAAUGAAUACCAUUCUGAUGAUACUCCAGUUGUUGCACUUUCUACUGGAUGGUUUGAUAAGAAGAGUAGAUGUCUCCACAACAUUACUAUAAGUGCAAAUGGGAAAAGUGUGGUGGCUAUGGUGGUUGAUGAGUGUGACUCUAGAAUGGGAUGUGAUGCAGAUCAUGAUUACCAACCACCAUGUGGAAACAACAUAGUGGAUGCCUCUAAGGCUGUAUGGGAAGCCUUGGGUGUGCCUCUUAAUCAAUGGGGUGGUCUUGAUAUAACAUGGUCAGAUGCUUGAUAUAGCUCUAGGAUGAAUUUGUGUUUUUUCAUGCAUUGUAAUUUAAGAGAUUUUCUGUACUUUUUCAUUUCAUAUAUAUGUUAUGAUCCUUUUAUUGUAAAUUAUGAAAUUUUAAUGACAAUGUUUUUAUACUAUCUAUCUAUUUAUAAUAAUUUAUUAAAAGAGUCUCACAAACUAUAAUAUUGUUAUCUCAUUACUAAUUUUGUUAUAUAAGUUUCAUUUUGAUAUUUCAUAAAAAAUUCAAUGCGUCAGAUAUAUGCUAUUCUACUCAAUCAAAUAAUAUUUUUUAGUGGGUGAUUCUUUAUCAUUUGUCAAUUUGAUUUCUUAUCCUAUAAUUAGUGUGAUAUAAAAAACAAAAUUGAAACUCAAGUAUUUAUUUUGUUGUUAUGUUUUGUGUAAUAAUUUUUAUUAUUGCAUUGUAUUGUUGUGUCUCCUCAUAUUCUGGAUUGGUAAAUGUUUAAAUGGUCAAUAAGUUUCUUUUCUCUUUCUUGUAAUCAUUUUUAUUCGGGUCACUACCAUGAGAACACCUUUUGGAUAUUAAUGAGUUUUCGUAAUUCCACUUUCUCAACUCAAAAGGAAACUUCUUUGUAGUCCAAUUAUUUUAAGAGAAUUAGAUAAAAUUGGAAAAUUCUAAUUUUGCAAAAAUAAUUUUUGAGUAAGUGGUACUUAUAUUCUACCUAUUUACUCAUUUGUCUCAAAACCUUAGUUAGACUAUUGUUUUUGUAGACAUAUUUGAGCUCAUAUGCAACAUGAAAGUGGCUUCUCAAAAGACAUAGAAAAUUGUCUAUAUUUAGUUUUAUAGUAGUGUUAUUGUUGUGUUUUUGGUAGAUUUAGAACUAUGUACUAUUUAAUUGAUAAAAUAAUAAUGUUUAAUAUUUAGAUUCAGAAAUUAUUUGUUGUUUUUUUACUGAGACAUUUUUUGUUGUCAAAUUUUUAAAAAUACUAUCUAUUUGAAAUUUCUACAUCUGUUUUACUUCUACUCAAUCAUACAUGCACAAAUUGUUUAUGAAAAUUUCCAAGUCAGGUUGUAUUAAAGAACACAUAGUAAAAAGUAGAAUAAAAAAUUGCAAGACAAAUGACUAUUGUAUUAAUCAUAUUGAAAAUAAUCGCAACUAACAUUUUAAUUUUACUCUAUUUGCUCUUUUAAUAGAAAAAUAUUGUUAGGAAAAGACAAAUUUGAAAUAUGUAUAUGAUUUAGUCAUUUCAUUCUAUCUUUGUCAAGCACACAUUUGAAAAGGUGAUACAUGUUUGAGAAAGUGAUGCAUGUUUGAUAAUUAAUAUUUAUUUAAUAACAUGUAGUGAUUAGAAAUAUUUAAAUUUUAACGGAUUAUUUAAUAACAUAUUAAUUGUAUACUUAUUACUUCAUUCACUUCUUUUUUAAAAGACAAAUAAGAUAUGUAUUUGAUCCAUAAUAUAGUGGAUUAAUGGUUAAUAUACUAUUAACUAUAUACUUAUUAUUACAUUUUAAUGCGUAAAUAUUUCUUUCAUAAUACUUUUUUUUUUUAACUUUCUUAUAUUUCUUUCAUAAUUCUUUCAUAAUACUUUUUUUUUUUAUUGUAGAAGUUUGUAAAUCUUAUUCAGUCAUUAAAAUAUAGUUAAAAUUUUAACAAAAGAAUUCAAAUGAUAAAAUUUAAUAUAUAAAUUAGUUGCAAUUAUAUUCUCCAAAAUAUUCUACAUAUGUUCAAAUGUGUGUUUAUAAAUCUAUAUAUAAUAAUUAUUCAAAUAAAUUCAAAAGAAAAAGAUAUUCUUCAAACAAAAUCAAUACAUUAUAUUAUUUUUGAAAUUUUAAAAUUUUAUUUACCAAAAUACUAAUAUGUUAAAUUCUAUUAGCAGAACGCACAAAUCAUAUUCUAAUUUCUUUUCAUUUCAAUACCUUUUAAAUUUUACCUUACAUGUGAUAAAGAGACGACGUAAUUACAAUAAAUAUAUAUAAUUAUUUUAAUUGAAAAAUCUAUUAAAUAUAGAAUAUCAUUCUCAAAAAAUUUGGGUGUCGGAUAUCAACUCUACAAUUUAAUAUAAUUACUAUUGGAAUGGAAAAUAUAGAUUGAUUCGUUAAAGAGGAAAAUAAGAGAAUUUGCACUAAAACCACAUAUUUUGUACCAAAAUUGUGUGCGCAAUCCAUGCACUCUUACUAGCUUGUUUAAAAGUCAACAUAAGAUACCAAUUUUGGCCUAAUUCAUUUCAAACUAGAUUAAGACCCACGCAAUCGAGUAAACAUAUAAUUUUCUUAAACGUUAUGCAUAUAAUUUGUCAAUAAUUUCUACAAGGAUCUAAGUAAAAAAUAUCUUAGUGGUUGAAGAGUGUAUAUAUUAUUUAGAAAUUAUCUUUAACGUUAAUUUUUAAAUAAUGUGGGACUAGUUUUGUGUAUCGAAACAGUUAUAAUCAAUUAAUUAAGAGAAGUAAAAAACACAUACAAUCUAUUUUAUUUGCUUUUUCUUUUUUCUUUUAAAAAUGUCACAACUAAAGUGGUCCCUACCCUACUAAGUCUAUAGCUCCUCCCUGAGAUGAAUGGUAAGGAAGGAGUUUGAGAAACGGAAUUUUAAAUUAUUAAAGUUUCAUUUUUUUUUUCUCGAGAAGAACAAUAGAGUUAAAAUAUAUAUNNNNNNNNNNNNNNNNNNNNNNNNNNNNNNNNNNNNNNNNNNNNNNNNNNNNNNNNNNNNNNNNNNNNNNNNNNNNNNNNNNNNNNNNNNNNNNNNNNNNNNNUAUAUAUAUAUAUAUAUAUAUAUAUAUAUUACAGUUAAUAUUUGAACAUUAUUAUAUAUACAAAUCGAGUUUUGAAUUUUUAUUUAAUUAUAGAAUAUAAUUUUUAAUUAUGAUGUACAAAUGUAUCAAUAUAAUUUGGAUUUUUUUUUAAUCUUUGUAAGUUUUUUAUUUUAUAAAAAUAGUGGUUGUAUAAUAAAAAAAUAAAUGAAAUGAAAAUAAUUGAAAAGUUUGUAAUAAAAUGAGCGAUUCAUGAUUAAAAAAAUAUGAGUAAUUGUUUGUAUAUACAAUUAAAAAGAUUAAAAUAAAAUAAAGUAAUUUUCACUUUAAAAAUAUUAUUAAAAAAGAGUGAUUGUUUGAAUAUAUAUUUUAUUUUGUUUUAAACAUUCAAUCAUUAUAGAAUACUUUCUUCUAAUAAAAAAUAAAAUAUAUAUUUUGCAUGUAUUGAUUUGAGAUAUAUUUGUAAGCAUUGGUAUUUAUAUGAUUAUUAUUUUUAUUUUUGUUUUACUUUUUAUCUUGAGUACUAUUUUUUUUUUAUUUUUUUUUUUGACUAAUUGAAUGAACUACUAUUUCUUAUUUCUUAUGUUUUAUUUCAUGUCCUAUUUCCACUUAAAUUUUCAAUAACAAAUUUUUAAUUAGAGGUGUUAUGUCACAUGUUUCUUUCAAAAAUAUUUGAUUUAAUUAUCUUUUUGGAGAGUGUAUAUACUGAACAAACUCAAAGUAUUAUUUUUUACCACAAAAAUACGAAAUAAUAUUAGGAAUUAUAAGAUUUUAAUAAUUUUUACCAUUAAUUAAAAUUAUGCUCUAAUUUAUUCUUCGUCAAAUGUAUAAGUUUAAUAUUUUGAAAUGAGUGUUUUUGUUUUCAUGAACAAUUUAUAUAGAAAAAUAUUUUCUUUUAUAUUAGAGGAAUAUAAUAUAUAUCUGAUCACUAACUGUAAAAAAUGAACACAAAUUAUAUUAUUACUUUGAAAAUACUUAAUUUAUAAUUUAAAAUUUUAUUUAAAAAAAAAUAUCAUUUGCUUUUAUUUAUUUUUUCAAAAACUUACUUAUUUAAAUGACUAUGUUCCAAUUUUUAUUUAUUUAAAAUUCAUUGAAUUGUUUAUGUAUAAGUUUGAUUAUUGAUUUUUAAUAUGUGAUGAUUAUGUUUUUAUUUUUUAUUUUUGCUGUAAUUUAUGGUUGUUACAUUUUGAUUAUUAAAAUAUAAUUAAAUAUUAUAAUAUAUUUAUAUACAAUGAAUUAACAAAAUAAAUAACAAUUAAAUCAAGUGUAUAAUGAAAAUUAUAUUUUUUUAUUGUUAGUUUUUUUAAUUAUAAAGAUAUAGAUAAAUAAUUAAUAAAAAAAAUUAAAGAUAACACAUCAUAUUAUUGAAUUAUAUAGCAAAAUUAGUGUUAUAUAACAUACAAGAAUAUGAUGUAUUUAUUAUUUUAAUAUAUUACAUUGAUAUAUUUGAUAUAUUGAUGGAAAAACUUAAACCAUUUUCUCAAUAGUAAUUUUAUUAGCAUGCACACAAGCAACCCCACACACAACCAUUUAGAAUUUCAUUAUUUUUUAUAUUGAAAACCAAACAAUUAAACUCAUUUAAUAAAUAUUUGAACAUUAUAAAAAGAGUUUUUCUUUUUUUGUAAUGAAAGAAUCGUAUCAUUAUAUUUAUAAAAUAAAUUAUUAACCUCACACACGCAUGAAAAAACUCACGUGCAUGUGUAUAAUUAGAUAACAAUUAAUAACAUUUGAUAAUAGUAAUUUAUUAACCCCAACAACACUUCAAGAAGUAAAUAUCGAACUAUAAUUAAUGUUGAAUUAAAUAGAUUAAUAACAUAUUUUUCAAUAUAAACAAUUAAGUUAUUUGUAAAAACACAAAUCAUUGUUGAUCUUAGCUAACUAAAUAUUAUUAGGAUAGUUAGAUAUAAAAGUAUAAUAACUUAUUAAAAAGUUAAAUUGUUCGCAGACUUAGAUUAUGAUUUAUUUUAUAUUGUUUUGUUAUAUUAACUUAGAUUUAGUUAUAAUAAUUGAUUUUCAAUAUAAAUUAAAUUAAUAUAAAACAAUAUAAAAACAAAUCAUUUUCAAUAUAAAACAAUAAUUGGUCGUUAUAUUGUUUUAUAUUGUUUUGUUAUAUUAACUUAUAUUUAGUUAAAUUAUUUUAUAUUGUUUUGUUUGCAGACUCAUCUCGAUUUAGUUUGUAUUGAAAAUGAUUUAUUUUUAUAAAAACUUAGAUUAUGAAAGAAUCCUUGUUGGGACCAUUUGAUUGUUUAGCCAGGGCAUCAAAAAUCCCAGACCGACGUUACUCAAAAUUUGACUAUGAAAAGAUAAUAUAACAAAACAAAAAAUAUCACAACUCAAUAUUUCAAAUUAUAAUAUUCUAUGAAUAGAUGUGAAAGAUUUUACACUUAGGUUUAUUUGUUUCUUUGACAAUAGAUUCUCGAUACACAGCUAUUUGAUCUCAACCAUCACUUUUAUUAAUAUUAUUUGAUUGUGUAAAUGUGUAAAUAUUUUGUUAACAUUAUUUAAUUUUGUAAAUACGUAAUUUGAACCAUUCGAUAUCAAGUCAAUAACCGAGAUUAAUUACUACAUCAAAUGCUUUAAAAUCACAAGAAAUUUAGACAUAUCACUUCUCAACCUUUAAGACAAUGAAUAUAUGAAUAAUUUUUCUCCCAAGUGUGAGUCUACCGGAUUCUAUAUUUGUGCCGACAUUAUUAUUAAAGAAACUACCCCCACCAAAUAAGACUUUCGAUACAAAAAUUCAAUACAAUAAUAAACUUGAACCCAACAAAGUACACCAAUUUAUAGAUAGCAAAAUAGACAACAUUCAAAGGGUUUUUGGUUCAAUAGAUGGUGAAAUUAGUUUGCCGCAAUUUCAUUAAAACUUCAUUAACAACAAAAUAUAGCAAAGCACAUGGUCAACGUCUCUUUGGUGGUCACAUCUUGCUUUGUUAUGGAAGAGAACAACAGUGACACCAAUAGUUGUUCUUGUUUCUUCCAGUUUGGUUACCCUUGGAGGAUACAUCAUAUGCUCCAAAAAUAUAAAUUGUAUUGGGAAUAAAAAAACUAGCUGCCCCACAACCAUAUUACAAACAUAACUAUUUCACUUCUGCAAUCUCAGCAGUUCAAUGAGACAAAUCACAUUAAAUUAUGAGUCGUAAUUGAUGUUUCAAAACCACAUAAAAAAACACCUAACCCAAGUUAUGUUUUUCCAAAUAGGACAUAAUGUAUCAUUAUCAAUAAGGAACAUGAAAUCUCCAAAUUAAAUAUCCUCAGUUACAAAAAAAUGAGAACAACCCCAAUUGAAUUCAUCAAUUGCAAAAGUCAGCUAGUUCUACUCUGCUGUAGGUACUUUCCAUUCUGUCAUCACUACUAAAAGAAUAUUAGAGGAGUGACCAUGAAUCUGAAAUAUAUACACACUACUAGUGUAUAUUAAAGCGUCAUCCACGCAUUAAAUCAAUGUCAACAUGGGAAUUUCGCAUAUCCAUCGGACGCGAUGCAGACCAAGGACUUAAGGAUGAGGUUGGACUAGUAAGAUUUUGUUGAUUUGGUAAAAUGCUAUUCAGUGCAACUGGAUUAUGAAUUCCUUGGUGAUCUGAUUCCACAGCAACUACUGAUGCAUCUUGUGAGCUUCCCUUUUUCUUGUACUUUCCCUUUAAUCUACCCCACUGAAAGGUCCCAACUGUCACCUACAAUUACGACUUUUAUGUUCAGUAAAUGUAUGUUUGGAAUCACGGUGAGUUUGACGAAAUCUAGAUGACACCGUGACUUUGUUGAAGCUCUUAAUUGUAGCUUUUGUCAAAAUCACAGUGACACUAUGAUUCUGUCAAACUCAAGCUGCAUUCAUGACUUCUAUGUUUAGUAUAGCUGGAAAAUUUUGAUUUAAACAUGUCGGAAUGAGAUAUAUGUUAUAACGAUUGAGUCUGUUUUUUACAGUUUAUUUGAGAGAAAUCAUUUUUAACUAAAACAUUAUUUUUAGUGAUUUUAAUUGUGUUUGUCUAAGCUUUUUAAAUUAAUCAGGACCUAAAAAAAUGAUUUUUCUGAUUUAAAUGAUAAGCUAUUUUUAAUAGUUUCUGAAGGCAAAAAUUGAUUUUAUGAGUUCGGUAAAUAAGAGAGAAGAUUAAAAAAGUGAUUUUAAUAAAUCUCUUUUAAUAUCAAAUCAUAAACAAACGGGACCUAUAAUAUAAAUGCCAUUAUGGUAGCACUAAAAAAUGUUGUUACCUUGACAAGAUCUGAUGCAAUGAGCACACCGCCAAUUCCUCCACCAACGACUCGGCCAUCAGGACUAACAAGGGUAACACUUAGUCCACCAGUUCGAUUCCGUAAGCUGCCACUAUCAGUUGGCAAGUAAGAGCCUGACAUGGACAGUAACUCCAAAUUUCCCUAACAAAGCCAAAAUCAAACCAAAAAUUAAAUAUAUACACAUAAAUAUAUAAACAACCUUAUAAUGCAACACAAACAUGAAAAAAUAUUCAAUAUAAUGCCAAAAUGAAGAAUCAAUUAUUAUGACUAGAAAGGUCUCAAUAAUAGAAAUUUCCUAUUGAAAAUAUGUGCUUAAAGCUAGGAUAGUAAACAAAAAACAUUCUUAAACUGCAGUAGUAAGAAAGUUUCCAUACCUCAAAUUUGACAGUGCCGCCUGAAGUUGAAGGCUGCCGAAGUGUGGCAAUUGAGACAUGACCUUCAGCUGCCAUAACACAUAAAGCUUUAGCCUGCAUCUGAGAAAACGCCAAUAUUUUUGCUGCAAUGUCCUGCAAGAGAAAGAAAAGUUCAAAAGUGUACCUCUCCAGUAUUUACAUAAAUGCUAGAACAUUUGGCUCAAACUUGAAACAAUCAUGAAAUAAAUUCAUUAUUAUUAUUAAAGUAACAUAAAAGAAUUAAUGGAUCAUUAUCAUAAAUUCAUUAUGAUCAUAAUUAAUAUCAUUAUCAUUUCUAAGUCUUCAAAAAAAACAUAAUAUCAUUCAGAUUUAUAUUUCUCCUUUCUCUUUUUUCAAUAUAUUUUUCCAUGCAAAUUUAACAACAUAUACUGCAAAAAUAAGAUAAAUCCAAAUACCUAAUAAAGAAUAACAUACCUCUCCACUUGGAAUCUGGAUGACAUGAGGGGCAAAUCCAAUCCCAGCUGAAUCAGGUAUCGACUCACCUGACAAUAAGUAACCACUAAAAACAUCAGAAAGUGCACAUAAAAAACUUAGCAAACCUACGGGUUAUGAUAAAUAUAUGUAUCAUCAUAUGUUGUCAUGAUGAAAUUCUUGUUAUUUUAUAAUUUUAUAUGCAUGUUAGAACCAUUGCAAAUUUGAUUAUUACAUAUUGUAGUAUAGAAUUUUAUAAUGAAUAAUAAAAUCAUAAUACCCACUUGUAAAUAUUUUCAUAUCACAUGCAUUCACACACACACAUGUAUGAGCAUGCCACACACAUACUGUAUGCUUGGUUAAAAACAUUUAAUUUGUCAAUAUUGAUACAACAUUUUUCAAUACCUUGAUUACAUAAUCUGGUGCAGUAACUAAUGAAUUAAUUGAUGUUGUUUUAUAGGUAUAAAUCUACAAUUGUGGAAAGGAAUCGUGGUCCAAUUUAAUUGUAAUAAGAUUUCCUUUCAUUUAUAAUAAUUAAAAAUAAAAUAAAUGCAUCUCUCUCUUAGAGAUCAACAAAAAAAAAAUAGAUAAAUAAGCGCAUGCAAAAGCAGCACUAAUAGAACGAGAUCGGCAAAACUUUAAAUUCAAGAAAAUUGAUAAACUAGAUUGGAACUUCAAUGUCAUUGCUCAUUUAUAUCAUUAUGUUAUUAGCAAGUCAAGUUGUCAGCAUAAUAAAUAAAUGACUAUAGUGAAACUUAGAACCAAUAACAUUUGAAUAUAGAUUUACAAAACAUCAAACCAUGCUUUUAAAAACCAUACUGGAGUGAUGCUUGACCGGUAAAUCAAUUGGGCGUACACAGUUCACAAAACUAGUGAGAAUGGUAGAGAAUCGAUCUGUGUUGUCAAUCCCAGAUUGCGGAGCGUCUGACCCCAUAAUUGGGAUUGCAGGAUUGUGGGGUGAGGGAUGGCUGCUAUUUGAUAUAUUUUGAAACGGAGGCUGGUUCGCAGCAGAGGGAGAAGUGAAGCAAAGAGGGAGCGGCAAUAUCUAUUCUAUGGUCACAGAAGAGUAGAGGCCAAUAGGGUUUUUUCUUUGCAAAAACCCUAAAAUACCCCUGUAACGACUCAAUUAUAAGGGUAUUUUGGAGUUUCAAAACUCAAACAAUUGCGCUCCUGUGGAGGUGUGACCUUUGUGAAAUGUCUCACAAUUUUUGCACCACUUCGCAAUGUGUGGGGAGGCUAGCCAAAGUUCCACCCUGCCCUAACGCUAUCUGGCCGCCUCAGACCGCUAUUGACAAGAUAGGAAUCAAUCAAACCAGUCGAAAAUCAAUGAUGAAUUGAAGAAUUGGUUUGAACUAGUUGUUUUUGGUUUUAAUUAAAUUUUUUUGUAAUUAAAAAUCAAUUCAAACUAAAACAAUUCUUUAGCCCAAUAAGAGUUCAAUGUCAAGUUCCUUUUACAAAAAAUUCAAUGUCAAUUGUCAAGUUAAAAAGGCCAACAUACUUCAGGACUGAGUAUGAAUUAUUAUUCGGCUUUUUAAUAUCAAAUUUUUACUUUACAAGAAUUGCUGUUCAUUCGAAUUUUUAUCUCACUUAAUUUCUUAUAAUUUUAUAUUGAUUUCAUUCUUAUUUGUUCUAUUAUAAUAUAAAUAAAUAGAGCCUGUUUGUUUAAACUUAUGAAAAGUGAUUUUAAAGUUGUGUGGAAAAAGUGAUUUAUUUCUUAUAAAUUAUAGUAAUGCAAAAUCUAUUUUCUGUUUGGUUGUAUUAUAAAAAGCACUUUUUUUAAAUAAAAAAAAAAGUAGUUGUAAUUACAACAUUUUCAAAAGCUACUUUCAGUAACUUUCAAACUAAUCAGAAACAUGAUGUUUUUAAAAGUUUAAAUAAAUACUCAAAUCUUUUAUAAGUGACACUAUCUAUUUCAACUUUUUCAUAAAAUAUCCUUUUAUUUUGAGAACAAAAUCACUUCUAGGAAGAUGUAUGUUUAAGCUUCAGAAAAAACAAAUAAAUAAUCACUUUUAGAAGAGGUCUCUUUAAGCGAUAGAAAAAACAUCAAAACUUAAAAAAAUAGUUUUCGAAGAAAAGUUUUAAUGAUAAUUACCUUUUAAAAUAAAAAAGUAAUGUUUAUAAUGAUAAUUACCAAUUUUUAGGAAAAUAGUGUAACAAACAGGCUCAUAAUUAAACAAGUUAGCUGUAAUCAGUGCUUUCACCAAUUUCAUGACUAGUUUGAAAAAUUGCUUUGAACCCUACCUUUAUGCUUCAAACAAAAAUUAUUAUUAACACAACAAACUAGAAAUUGCAAUAGAUAUUUACCUGAAGAAGCCAAUUGCUGCUUCUUCCCACUCCCAGGUGGACGCCCUCUCCCGCGUUUCUGGCCGUCUUGUGUCACAGUUAUAGGAUUACUAGAUGGUGUUGUACUUGGACUCAGCGCCAAUGACACAACUCUAUCAGAGCCAUAUUUCCGAGGCCUUCCUCUCUUCCUUUUCACAGUCUCUCCGGUUGACACCCCAGUAGGACCAUCCACAUUGACAGCGUGAGAUGAAAUUGCCAACGAUUCUAAGGGCAAUGAGGAUCCGAUGUGACCACCACCAAUGUUGGAUUGAAAUGGUAGAUUAUUGGGAUUAGACAAUGGGCGAAUACUCGGCGAAACAUGUAACUCAGGUAGUGGUCCAGAAACAGCUAGUUCUCUCUGCUGCUGCAUAUAGUAAGAUGCCGAACCAGAUAGCGCCAUAUGGUCCACGUGAUCCAUGCAUUUAACUUCAAAUGCCUUCUUUGACAAGAAAUUUUGAUCACCAAUAUUGACCAAGCUCUGUUCUCAGAUAGAGUAUAAUGACAAUUUAAAGAAAAAGGAAAAUAUCCACAUAUUAGAAUACCAUAAAAUAUAUGAUAAAAUCCAAUAAUUCAAUACCAACAAGAGUAAUAAUAGACUAAUAAUCCUUCAAAUCAAAAUAGGGUAGCUUCUAGAAGAUAAAGUUUCUUCUUUAUGGAACCAUAUUAACAAACACAUAUGAAAGAAAGUGAAAGGACACAAUCCUCAAGACAACCAUAAAGUAGAAGAUAAAUAAAUUAGAGAAACAAGAUGGAAAGCCAAGGCAUCCACACAAACAAGUGAACCACUAUCCAAUAACAUGUAACAAAAGACAAAAAGAGAAGCUAUAUUACAUCUUACCAAACUUACGAAGCACCGACAAAGACAUAGACACCGAACAUGACACUACAUACGCAAACACCAGUAAUAUUUGAAAAAACAAAAGUGAUUGAAUAUAAACACAUGUCUCAGUAUGGUGCAUAACACCUGACACGCUUUUACUAUGAAGUGUCGGUGCUACAUAGAACUAAACAAAAAAGGUUUGAUUCUGAUUUGAACAUGGAAAGGUCCACUCUUACCAGCACCAAGUAUAAACCUUGAACACAGCAAUUUCAAAGGUAACCACAAACCCAAUAAAGAUAAAACUCAACCAUCAUACCAACACACAUAAAAUCAACAACCCCAAACCCAGAAAAGUAGCAGAAAAUAUAUGAAAGAAUCACUUCAAGCCAAUGCCAUAAAAAGCUCACAAACCCAGUUGCACACAAAAAAGGACCACAAAAUGCAACAGCACAAAAAAGGGACCUCAAAGUCACAUACAAAAACGAGUAUAACGUCAGCCAUGAUUUUUCUGACAUGGAAAGGGAAAGUAACAAAUUUCGGUAAAUUGGGUUUGAAAUUAAAACAGAUUCAACACCCCAAAUACAACAAAGAGAAAAUGCAACAUGCAGAUAGAAAUAUAAUAAUAAUAAUAAUAAAGAAUGAUAAGGGAAAAAAAAUCAUACAUACAUUUGUGAGCAGGAUCAAAAGGGUAUGUUGCAAAUCUCAAGUUUCACCUGUGAACAAAUUGAAGCUAGUGAUUGUUAACAAAAUCAAAGAAAGUAAUGGUUUUUCGAGCGGUAUAAAGAAAGAACCACAGUGUGAGUGAGUGCAAAGAAAGCAAAUUACUCAGCAACCAUGGAGAAAGAGAAAAAGGGUUAUUAUUAAAUUGAAAAAAAUAAAAAAGGGGAAAUAAAAAAAUAGAAAAUAAUGGUGAUUCUCUCUCUCUAUCUCUAGUGUAGUGUAUGAGUUGCACAAGUCCUUAUCUGUUUGUAUAGAUUUCUAGGGCUGUGCUUAUUUUCUCUCUCUAAAAAAUAGGGUUUUUUUUUCUCUCUCUUGGUUGGAUUGCGAUAUUGGUGAUGUUAUGGUGUGUAAUGUUUCUGGGAUUUAGGUAAGGAGAUUGAGAAACAAACAAAGUUGAAAAGAAAAAGCACUUCUUCUUUUGGAUAAAACUUAAUAUUUUAAUCAAAAACUCAAAAUCAAAUAUUGAAAAACAAAAAUUAAGAAUUUUUUUAGUAUACAACUAAAUACUAAAAAAAAAAAAGAAAAACUUACCAGAUCUUGUAUCAAAAUAUAGUCUUCAAUUUAAUAAUUUUGAAAUUUAUUAAUUAAAUUAAAAUUUCAAUAGAAUAUAAAAAAAUUAUAUUGUUGAUAAAUAACAGCGCUUACAUAUGUUAUUGUUAUUUGAUUUUUAUUAUAUUUACAUGUAAAGUUUAGAUUGUGAUGUACAACAAAAAUUUAUAUUAUUUUGUACCAAAAUUAAAUUAUUUAUUUUAAUGAUAAAAAUAAACAAUAAAGUAUUUGGGGGCCCAUGGGGAUUGUGAAGGAAAAAGGGAGAUUAUCUUUAUCUCUAUUCACGCGCCUUGUAGGAUCAAUAUUCCUGUUUUUGUGUAACAAGUGAAACCCUCCCAUAGAAGGGUGUUGCCUAAGGCAUUGUCCUAUAUCACCCAAAAUCUCUCUCAAAUCUUGGAGAAUCUAUGCUUAUAUUCUAUACAUUAAUUAAUUAAUUACUUAAUUGAUAGAAAUACUAUUUUUCUUGAAAUAAAUAUAUAACAACACACUUUUUCAUGGAUAUUUUCUCUAGAAAAAAUAUAAAUUAUAUUUUUUGAACAACAUAUAAAUAAAUUAAAUUUCAUAGAUAUGUAUUGUCAACGUAAACAAUUUAUAUUAACAGUUAACAUAAAUCAUUAAUUGUUUUAUUAUGAAUUGAUAAAAAUUAUAAUCAUGUGUUGAUAGAGAAUGAUCAAUAAUUCUUAUUAACUAAUUGUAAAAUUAGUUUACACUUUGAGUAUAUAGUCAUUUUUUUCAAAUAAAUUUUGACAACUUCUUUCAUCUUUAAUGAUAUUGUAUUUAAGAUAGUCCUAAUUUAGUUUAACUUACAUUUUGAAUGAUUCAUUUUUGGACUCAUAGAGGCUAAACCACUUAACCAUUUUUUAAUAGAUAUAAUUUGAUUAUUUUAUUUUUGGGAGUUCUUUUUAACUUAUUUUAUUACUAAUUUAAAUCAAAUAAAACUUACUAAAUUAUGUGAAUCUAACGUAAUUUGGUAAGGUCAAUAGGUGUGUUCAUAUCUAAACUAGUAUAAAUAAAAACUUAUCUAAAAAAUUUAAUUGAAACAUUGACUUUUAUAACUUUUAUAGCAUGUUUUAGGAUCUCCUUUUGUGAAAAUUAUUCGAAUUUAGAUUGAAUUUUCAUAUCUUUAUUUUAAAUGAUAACAAUUUUUUUUUCAAGUAAUCUAGUAGCUAAAGCCGCACAUUUUAGAUAUAGAGAAAUGAAAAAUCUCAAAUUCGAACUUCAGUUUUUUGUGUACUUAAUGCCCAUGUUCGUGCAACUACCAACUAAGUUGUACCUACAAGAAAUAAAAAUGAACUUUAAUAAUUAUUUAUUUUGUUAUUUUGUUGGGCAAUAUUUAUUUGGUUUUUUAAUAAUUUUAUAUUAUACUCUACGUUGAAAUUUAUAUAUUAAAAUAACUUUUAUUUUUUACUUUCAAAAUGUCGCAUCCGUGCUCUGCCGCCAUCUGAUGUUAUUUGACAUUAAUUUUCAUUUUCAUGUAUUUUUUUAUGUGAAAUUUAUUUGAUUUUAUUUUAUUAGUAUGAUAAAAAAAAUAAAAAUAUUAUAAAUGAUCGUACGUCGGGAAUACGACCUUUUACUAGAGAAAAAAAUAUAUUUAUACAAAAAAACAUAUUUAUUUUAUUAAUAGUAUUACUAUAGUACAUUGUAUUAAUCUAUUAUUCUUUUGUUAAUAAUACUUAUUGAUUUAAUGUAUAUUUGUGUUUUAGUAUUUCAUAUGUUCUAAAUCAUAUGGUUAAUUUUAUUUUUUAGUAUGUUAUAUAAGUCUAUGUUUUCUUAAGGAAAUUAUAUAGGUCAAUGUUAUUUAGCUUAUAAUAUAUUAUUUGAUAUAAUAUAAAUAUGUAAUUACGUAGUGAUAAGUGUAGGUAUAAUUCAAAUGAUAGAUAUUAAAAUUUUAUCUUUUUAAAUCAGUUAAAAUAUAUAUUUUCAGUCGAUUUCAUGUUUAAGUAACAUCAAAUGACUUAAUAGAUACGUUGUUUUUUAACGUGUUUUAUGAAUCGAGUUAAAUUGUAUAUCAUCUUGUUAAGUCGAUUCAACUUAACUAAAAUAUACAAUAUCAGAGCUUCAUGCAAAAUAUAGAGUACAAAUGUCUGAUUUAAAUGCAAAAUAUAUACGGAAUGAGAUGAUUUAGUUGUCAAUUAACAAAAUUACAAUAUAACAAUAUCCAAUACACAUAUUCAAACAUUGUAAUUUUCUUCAAUUAAUUUCAGAAUAAAAUUCACACAUCGUUCUUGAACUCUAAUUUGAUCGGGAUGGAAUGAUUUCGAGUUAUCAGAUAUGUGAACAAAAAAACACAAUUAAUAUCACUUGAAUCAUAAUUUUUUAUCAUAUGAACAUACACAAUCAAUAGCAACUUGUAUUUUUUGUAUUAUACGAACAAAAUAAAACACAAUCAAUAACAACUUGUAAAAGAUUUACGUAGUUGCGUCCAUGAAUCAACAAUACCGGCGAUUAUAAUAUUUAAUGUAUAUAACAUGACAUAAUAGUCACACUCAUAAUUUGAAGCUUUUAUAUGCCUCUAAAAUUGAAUAUCACAAAAAAAAUGUUAAAUACAUAAAAUUGUUAUAAUAUUGUAAAUGAAAUUAUUCAUUUAUAAACAACUUACUGUAGAAAAAAUUCAUGUUAUUUUCGGUUUAAUUCUCAAACCUAGCAACCUAUGAUAACCUUCAAAAGUUCUACAAUAUAAAAAUAGCUAUUAAAAUUAUAUUAUAAAAUAUAUAUUACAAUUUACUAAUAUAAUGGUAAAGAUUAAGGUAAAAGAUUAAAAGAGAAACAAUUUACCAUUUCUAUAAAAUUUUGUUUAUUAAACUAGAUUAUAUUAAUUGUUGGCAUAAAGAGUGUAAAUCAAACAUGAUCAUCACUCAACCUCAACAUUUAAAAUAACUACAACAAAUAGUUAGGUUAAUUUAUGUAAGAAGAAUCAACCUACAUAUAUCAAUCUACGUGAUGUACUUUACAUAUAUCAAUCUACAUGAUGCAUAUCAUUUUAGUAGGUUAAUACCAACAAGAUGUCACUUUCUCAUAUUAAACUCAAAUAUAUAUUUCGACAAUGCAUGAUAACACAACAACCACAAUUCUAUUCGUAUAAAUAAUUUUACUCAUAAAAUACACCAAUUAUAAAACACAAUUUAGAUAACUUUUCAAAAGUAAUUUCUCUAUUGAAAUAAUUAUUUUCAAAACUUUGUUUUUUUUUUUUUUUCGUUUUCUUUCUCUUUAUCAAUUAAUCUUUGAGAUAUUAUAUCAUUUGACCAUUUUUUAUUAGUAGUUUUGUAAUUUCAUUAGUUUUAAUUUAAAAUCUAAAACACUAACAAGUUAAACUAGUUCAUAAUAUCAUAAACAAUAAAUCAACUAUUUCAAACAAAUAUCACAACACCCUACCAUCACGAUUCAAUAUUCUAACAAAUGUAUUAAUUAUUUUUGGGAUAUUGAUGUUUACUUAUUAAUUAUUUUCAUGCAAUUACAUAUAAUUUUAUUAAUUAUUCAAAUUGAUAACGUGAAUAAGAAACUUGUUAAAGUUUUUGGGUAAAUUUUAUUUCUUAAAAUUCACUUCAAGAAACAAUAGUAUGAAUAGUAGGGUUUUUGUUCUUCUAACUAGCAAGGAAUCACAAGAUUUAUGUACAACAUAUAGGACCAAACAACCAUAUUUGUACAAGAGACAUGAAAGACAAACACUAAAAAAAAAGUGAAACAUAUGUUUUUUUAUUAGUUAAAACAAUGUAGCAAUGUAAAAUUUUAAGCAUCAUAAUUCCACCAAACAUAAUCCAUAAAUCAUUAAUGUAAAAAAUAUUCAAAUAUAAUGACAGAGAAACAAUAUCAAGAACAAUUAAAAAACAAACAUUACAAUUCAAAUUAAUUAUUUUCAUAUGAAAGAAAAGUAAUAACUUGAGAAGUAUAUAUGUCUUCACACAUAGACAAAUGAUGAUAAUACGGCGGUGGCGAGAGUUUAGGGUUGCGAUGUGAUGUUAGAGAAUGUCAAAAAUCAUAUUAGAGAAAGUCAGAAGUUAUAUUUUAUCUGUACACGGAGGUUAGGGAAUACGAUGACGCAUAUAGCAUAAAAGAUAAAACGCAGCUACGAUGUGGAGGUCAGAGAACUUUUGGUGGAUAAAUUUAGAGGAACGCAUGUGGAAGAUAAGAUGGUGAGGGUUAGUAACUUGGUGCAUAGGUUUAGAGCAAGCCAUAGAAGAUAAAACGCUAAGAUUUUUAAGCGUAAACAAAGUUAAAAUAUGCUUUUAGGUUGGUUACAAAAAAAAAAAAUGAAUUAAACAAAAUCAACAUAUUUAUAAAAUUGUCACCUCCCAUUUUAUUAACUCGUUUAAUCAAAUACAAAUUUUCUACUAAUAUUGAUAUGUUGGUUGAAAUAAUGAAAAUUAUAGAAAAUAUUAACAAUCACUACGCCAAAAAUGACAUUUAACAGCGCCCCUUUUACAGCGCUUGCUAAACACAAGCGCUGUUGUAAAUAUAUUUUAAAAAUAACGGAGCCUUUUACAGCGUUUUUGUUGACAAGCGCUGUAAAACAAGCGUUGUUGUAGGUCAUAUAUUGUUUGUGCAUAACGUUAUAAGGCUUUUACAGCGCUUGUCAAAAGAGCGCUGUAAAAUGAAGCGCUUUCGCGUAUCAAUUACAGCGCUUUUUUCACAAGCGCUGUAAACACAUGUGCUUUCAAAUAUUUGAACUACUUAAUAUAACGCUUUUUUCACAAGCACUGUAAAAUACAUGCGCUUUCAUUGAAUUUAACUACCUAUUACAACACUUUUUUCACAAGCGCUGUAAACUACAUCUUUCAAAUAAUUAUAUACGUUGGAAACCCUCAUAUCCUCUACAUCUUUCAAAUAAUUAUAUACGUUGGGAAUCCUAAUAUCCUCUACGUACUGUGUUUGGCCAUCUACGUUGUCUCAGGUAUUUUUUACACAUGAUCUGUUAUGUUUUGUUAUAUAUAUAUAUUAAAUCUACUAAAAAUUGUUAUAUAUAUAUUAAAUCUCUUCUACACAUGAUCUGUUAUGUUUUGAAAUUGUCAAAAACUCAUACCACAUGAUCUGUUAUGUUUUGAAAUUGUUAGUUGAUAUUGGUUUCUUUUUGAAACUUGUUGAUAUGUUUUGAAAGCUUGUUAUUUUUGUAACUGCAUUUAUAUAGGUGGUAUAAUAUGGAUAGGAAAUGGAUGUCAGCCAAUCGAUUGUCAAAAGAGUAUGAAAUUGGAGUGAAGGAGUUUGUUGAGUUUGCAGUGAAGAAUGAAAAAGAUCCAAAUAGAGUAGUUUGUCCUUGUUUAAAAUGUUGUUUUGGAAAACGUGUUAGAGAAGAUGAAUUAGAAGGACAUCUAGUAUGUAAUGGAAUUGAUCAAAGCUACACAUGUUGGAUAAGACAUGGUGAGAAAAAAAAAGGAAACAUUAAUUUUGAGAAUAGUUCUACAUAUGCUUCAACUGAUUUCGAUACAGAUACAUAUGAGCCGGACCGAGUUGAUGAGAUUGCAAAAGCAGUUGAAGAAGAUCUUCGAGAUUGUCCUAAAAUGUUUGAAAGUUUGUUGAGUGAUGCAGAGAAAGAAUUAUAUAAUGGUUGUACUAAAUUCACAAGACUGUCAGCGAUAUUAAAGUUGUACAACUUAAAAGCGAGUAAUGGAUGGUCUGAUAAAAGCUUUACGGAAUUAUUAACACUCAUAAAAGAUAUGUUGCCAGAUGAUAAUGAACUUCCCAGUCGAACCUACGAGGCUAAACGGAUUUUGUGUUCUAUUGGAAUGAGUUACGAAAGGAUUCAUGCGUGUCCUAACGAUUGCAUUUUAUUUCGAAACGAAUAUGAACUACUUAAGGCGUGUCCGAAAUGCAAUGUCUCUCGAUAUAAGAAGAAAGAAUCUACUCCAGCAAAAGUCGUGUGGUAUUUUCCUAUAAUACCAAGAUUUAGGCGCAUGUAUCGCAGUGAAGAAGAUUCAAAACACUUGACAUGGCAUGCAGAUGAAAGAAUUAGAGAUGGAAUGUUUCGACACCCUGCAGAUUCCCCACAAUGGGCAAAAAUUGAUCACGAGUAUCCUGAAUUCGGGAUAGAGUCAAGAAAUCUAAGACUUGCACUUUCUACUGAUGGAAUGAAUCCACAUGGUCUUCAAAGCAUCUCACAUAGCACGUGGCCUGUGAUUUUGGUAAUAUAUAACCUACCUCCAUGGUUAUGUAUGAAGCGUAAGUUUAUGAUGUUGUCUCUGUUAAUUUCUGGACCCAAACAACCGGGGAAUGAUAUCGACGUAUACUUGACUCCUUUAAUUGAAGAUUUAAAAAUUCUGUGGGAGACAGGUGUGGAAGUUUAUGAUGGGUAUAGGAAAAAGUGUUUCAAUUUGAGGGCUAUGUUGUUCGGCACAAUUAAUGAUUUUCCAGCAUAUGGUAAUUUAUCAGGAUAUAGCAUUAAAGGUCAGUGUGCAUGUCCUAUAUGUGAAGAGAGUACAAAUUGGAUGCGGUUGAAACAUUGUAAGAAGAAUGUGUUUCUUGGACAUCGUAGAUUUUUACCUUAUAGUCAUCAGUAUCGUGGGUGGAGAAAUGCAUUCAAUGGAAAAUCAGAGGAAGGUAAAGCUCCUUUAGCACCGACUGGAUAUCAAAUACUUGAAAAAGUACAAGGUUUGACCAAUAAAUUUGGCAAACCUUUUGCGGGAGAGCUGGUGAAAACUGGGUGGAAGAAAAAGUCAAUUUUCUUUGAAUUGCCAUAUUGGAAGUCAUUGUAUGUAAGACAUUUCCUCGAUGUGAUGCAUAUUGAAAAAAAUGUAUUUGAAAGUGUUAUUGGUACGUUACUCAAUGUUCCAGGAAAGUCUAAAGAUGGCGUCAAUGCAAGAUUGGACUUGGUCGAUAUGGGAAUAAGAAAUGAACUGGCUCCAGUAAAGAAAGGAAAUCGCACAUAUCUACCUCCAGCCGCUCAUACUCUAUCUAGAAAGGAAAAAAUUGUUUUAUGUAAAUUUCUACACGAAGUUAAAGUUCCAGAAGGAUACUCUUCGAACAUUAAAAAUUUGGUUUGUAUGAAAGACCUCAAGUUAAAAGGUUUGAAGACCCAUGAUUGUCAUAUUAUAAUGGAGCAUUUGCUACCAAUAGGUAUACGUUCCAUUUUACCUGAAAAAGUUCGACUAGCCUUAACUAGAUUAUGUUUCUUCUUCAGGGAAAUUUGUAGUAAAGUGAUCGACCCUCAGAAAUUACCGACAUUGCAGAGGGAAAUUGUUGUUACUUUGUGUGAGCUUGAAAUGUAUUUCCCACCAUCGUUUUUUGAUAUAAUGGUUCACCUUACUGUUCAUCUGGUUAAGGAGACACAACUUUGUGGGCCAGCUUAUAUGAGAUGGAUGUAUCCGAUAGAACGAUAUAUGAAAAUAUUAAAAGGGUACGUAAAAAGUAGAAGUCGACCAGAAGGUUGUAUUGCUGAACGAUACAUUGUUGAAGAGGCUGCUGAAUUUUGUACUGAAUAUCUGUCCAAUGUUGAAUCCAUAGGGCUUCCCAUGUCUCGUCAUUCGGGAAGACUAUCAGGAGAAGGGAUAACUGGAAGGAGACUACUGACUAUAUCAAGGACAGAAUGGGAGCAGGCACAAUUGUAUGUUCUGCACAAUGAUGAUGAGGUUCAACCGUAUGUUACAAUACACAUUGAUCAGUUAUCUCGUUUGAACAUGAAUAGGAAUCAAAAUUGGAUAACUCGAGAGCACAAUCGAAGUUUUGUAACAUGGUUAAAAAAUCACAUAAUGUCAAAAUUUGAUAUAGACCCCGGAUCAAUUUCAAAUAGAUUGAGGUGGCUAGCAAAUGGUCCGAGCUUACAUGUCUUUUCUUACACUGGUUAUGUUAUUAACGGCUACACAUUUUAUACCAAAGAACAAGAUGAUCAGACCACUAUGCAAAAUAGUGGAGUCACUCUCGUAGCUGAAGCGAUGCAUGUCUCAAGUGCAAAAGACAAAAACCCAAUAUAUGCAAAUCUAUCAUAUUUUGGGGUUAUCGAGCGCAUAUGGGAGUUAGACUACACAAUGUUUCGUGUUCCUAUAUUUGGUUGCAAGUGGGUCGAUAAUAAUAAUGGCGUUCGGAUUGAUGAGUCAGGAUUCUUGCUUGUCGAUUUUAAUAGGGUGGGAUACAAAGACGAGCCUUUUAUUUUAGCGUCGCAAGCUCAACAAGUGUUUUAUGUCACUGAUCCUUCUGAUGAUAAAUGGUCUGUUGUCCUAUCGACCAAUAAAAUAAGUGAUGAUAACAAUAUUGAUGAAGAUGUUGAUAAUGAUCUUUUAUUUGCAGCGUCACAACAACCACAUGAAAUUGAUUCAACUGAUGAUGGUUUAUAUCUUAGAGAUGAUCAUGAUGAGGGAAUUUGGAUUAAUCCAUCGUUUCGUAUUGUAAAUGGACAAACAAAUGUGACAGCCACCAGGAAAAAAAGAAGGGCAUCUUAAUGUAUAUGUUUAAUUGUUUUAUAUAAGCCAUGCAUGUAAUCUGAAUUAUUGUGAUAAAUAUGAAUAUAAUCUGAAUUAUUGUGAUAAAUAUGCAUGUAAUUUGAAUUGAGUGUUUUAUACUAAUAUGGCAGAAUAGCAACAUAUUUCAUAUCAGAAGCUUUUGGAAUCAAACAAUACAUACCAGCAUAUUGAGAUCCUAGUUAUAACAUCUCACAGUUUGCUACUAAUGUCACUUAUAUAAUGUAAAUUAAGUGCCAAUUCGAUUGGAAUAAAUGUCUGAGUACAGUCAUCCAAAAUUGAACCCAAAUAAAACCAACACAAAAAUAACAUACUGGGGUCUUUUACAGCGCUUUUUAUAAAAAGCGCUGUAAAAGACCCUUUUGAAAAUAAGUAAAAAAGACAUUUUACAGCGCUUAUUUGAAAAAGCGCUAUAAAAAGCUUUAUUAAUAAUAAUUAUCAGACACCUAACAUGACUAUCUCUAACAGAAUUUUCUUCAAACACCUUGUACACAUCAUGGGAAUCCCCAAAAACACAUUGUUAACAAAAACAUCAGACUCAAACCCAUUUUUCGCAACAUGGCAAUGAACCUGAAUACCAAGUUUCGAUUUAAGAAGGAAAGGGAAUGUAAAGAGAUAAAAAGGGUGUUGAGGUAGAGAUUGAAUUGUGAAAGAGUAAGCUUUGAUGUUUGUAAAGAUGCAUAAAAGGAGAAGAGUUUGGUGAAGAGGAAGGGAUUUUGGUGGUGACCAGUUACUACUAUGUGGGUUUUGCAUGUUGAGCUUGUUUAAAAAAUAACAUAACAAAACACAAAAACAAUAAGGCCUUUUACAGCGCUUAUUUAAAAAAGCGUUGUAAAAGGCUUUAAAAAAAACAUUCAUAUAACAUAAUAAAACAAGGAGGUCUAUUACAGCGCUUGUCCAAAUAAGCGCUGUAAAAAACUGUUUUAAAAAUAAAAUAAAGCGACCUUUUACAACGCUUAUUUGAACAAGUGCUGUAAAAGGAUUUUAUAUAUAACAUAAUAAAACAAUGAGGUCUUUUACAGCGCUUAUUGGGAAAAGCGCUGUAAAAUACUGUUUUAAAAAUAAAAUAAAGAGACCUUUUACAGCGCUUAUUUGAACAAGCGCUGUAAAAGGGUUUUAUAUAUAACAUAAUAAAACAAUGAGGUCUUUUACAGCGCUUAUUGGGAAAAGCGCUGUAAAAGAGCCUUUUAAAAAAUUAAAUAAGGACGCCUUUUAGAGCGCUUUUCAAACAAACGCUCUAAAAGGCCUAAGCCUUUUAGAGCGCUUUUUAAACAAGUGUUGUAAAAGGGUUAUAAAAAAGCGCCGUAAAAGGGUUACGUAUAUAUAACAAUAACCGCUUCAGUUUUCUCUUCAUUACGUAAACUUCACUAUCAUCUCAACCUUCAUCGUUCUUCUCUUCUUUUUCAAACCCUAUCAUCCCGUCCAUUACGAACCUUAUUUCCACGAUCAUCUCCUUCAUUUCGAACCUUAUUUCCAUCCAAGAUCAUCUCUCCCAUUUCACACAAUAUAUUUUCAUUGAAAUACGUAACCCUCAUUACGUAUUUCUUCAAUAUCCUAUUUCUUUGAACCAUAUUUCUGUGAACUUUCUGCGUUCCCUCUUUUCUUUACAUUUCAUCUUUCUUCGAACCAUUAUUCAGGUAUUGAUGUUAUAAAUUUUUUGUAAUCAUUAAAAUGCAUGUUGAGCUUUUUUAAGAUAUACUUAUACAUGUUGAGGUUGUUUAUAAUAAUGCAUGAUCCAUGUUGAGCUUGUUGAUGUUAUACUAAACUGCAUGUUGAACUUGUUGUAGUUAAAUGGAUACAAACAAAGAUAUAGAAGUUCAAAAUGAAGAAGUUGGCACCUCCAAGACUUAUGAAAAAGAAGUCAAACGUGGUGCAACUAUAAUGCAAAAGGUGAUUAAAGCAAGGAGUAGUGGGAUUAAAUUUGAGGUAUACUAUACUUUGUUUGCUGUGUGAUUUUUAUCUUUUUUUAGGGUUUAGGGCAUGUACUUACUAUAUGAGUUUAUUAGGUUGGCUGGAACGAGAGUGGUCAGCCAGUUGACCCCAACAGCUCCAUGUUUGUAAGCUACAUUGGGGCUGUUGUUCGUCAAAAUGUCCCAAUUACAUUUGACAAUUGGAGAGAUAAGGCGUUGAAGGAUGCCAAAUAUAUUAUAUGGAAUGACAUUCAAGUAAAUUUUUUGAUCCACUCUUUUGUCAUUUAUAAUUUUUUUCGUUGAAAUACUUUACUUAUAAUUUUUUUCAUUGCAGACGACUUUUGUUCUUGAUGAGGGACGAAAGUCUUAUGUUUUGAGAAUUGUUGGAAAGAUCCAUCGUGGAUUUAGAUCCCAUCUCUCAAAUUUCUAUCUAAAAGAUAGAGAAGGAAACACAAGUGCUGAACCUCCAAAAAUAUAUCAACAUUAUAUAUCAAAGGAUGAAUGGAGAGCAUUUGUUUCCAAACGUUCUGACCCUGCGUUUGUCGUAAGUGAUUAAUUUAUUAGCAUUUGUGUUUUAUUUUUCAUAUUCGUAGCGUAUUUUAAAUUUUUACACAAUUGCUAUUUUUUUUAUAUAGAAUAUUAGUAAGGCAAAUCGCGAACGGGCAAGCAAUCCAAAACACCCAUACAAGAAAUCACGUAUGGGAUAUGCACGCCUUGAUCAACAACUUGUAAGUAAUUAAACAUCACUUUUAUAUAAUGAAGUAAUUUGUAUUAUAAACUAUAGUGUGUAACUAAUUUGUAUUACUUUGUUUAUGAUUUUAACGAAUAGAGAAAAGACACCCAAGUCGAUCAACCCUUGGGUCGUCAUAUCUUAUGGAAGGAAGCGUGUGUUAACAAAGACGGAGUGGUUGAUAAUGAAAAUGUCAAAAAAGUUGUAGAACUUUGUGUAAGUAUAUUAUCACUUUAAUAUUUUUUAAUAUUGUAUUUUAAAAAUGCUAUUGAACUUAACUUUUUAAUGUUACAUGUAUUUUAGGAGAUUAUUGAACAAAGUUCUGAAAAUCUGGAGGACAACAAGGAUACUUGCAGGGACAUUCUUGGUAAAGUGUUUAAUGUCCCUGAGUAUUUCGGUCGAGUUAGGGGGAAAUGAUUUGGCGUAACUCCCAAAAGCUUUUUUCCUCAAAAGAAGCGCCAAAAACCUUCCAACGAGGAAGUAUUAGAGAAGCUCAGAAUCCUAUCGGAGCAAGUGGCACUCUUGGUGAAUACGAAUAAAGACAAGCAACUUCCGGUUCAGCUCCAACCUGAAAUACAAAUGGAGAGUGAAACCGGGAGUUGCAACGUCGGUUUGAAAAGUAUUCCCGAGGUAAUUAAUUACUUACUACUUACUUGCUUAUGUAAUUACUUAUGUAUUAAACAAACUUAUAUAUUAACUGUACUUAUGUUUUAACUAUUGAUGUAGGGUGUCACUACAUGUGUCCUAUACUUGUCCUCGCCGACUCAACGGAAGGUGGGAAAAGGAAUAUUGCACAAUACUUCGGGAGAAGUAUUGCACAAUAUUCCGAUCCCCGCGGGCCAUGUCAAAGUAUCGCCUACGGUUGCUUUCGAACCAACUGCACCGUUGCCCAUACCGGACAACGAUGGAGAUAUGAAGUUCUUAAGCGACGCUAUUGGCAGUUACGUGGCAUGGCCCACACACCUUGUUGCCCUCCAAAAAAAGAUUCCCAAGGACAAAUCAGUUUUUUUUUAAAAAGCGUUGUCUUUUAUCUUUGUGCCCAAAAUUAUUUUUGAUCCAAAAUCACUUCACAAUCAGUGCACACAACAACAAAACAUAUUCAAAUACCAUAAGCAGUUCACACAAUCAGUAGAACAUAAAUCAGAACUCUGUAACUUUUUUAACAUAUAUGUAACUCUGUAAUUUACAACCUAAGUAACUACAUUCAGAUACAUAUAUACAACCUAAUUUACAACCUAAUUACCUACAUUCAGAUACGUAUAUAUAUAUAACCUAAUUUACAACCUAAACUACAUUCAGAUCCAUAUGCAUGUUCAUAUAUUGUGUCCUAUGAUCAUUUACAUAUAAUAACUAACAGAAUAUACAUUAUAUGCACUAGCUACCAUAUAAUAUUCAGAUCCCUUGCCCAGCAGCAAGCUAUUUCCCAGAAAAUCAAAUAAUUUUCAUGUCAAGCACGUACUGACACCAUUCUUCCUUUAAUUCCAUCAGAUCUUCCUCAGAAUAUGAUGGACUGGAAUUGGCAAAGUACUGCAAUAUAAAAAUUGAACAUAUUAUAUUAAGUUAGUAUCAAAUAUAUAGAUAAUUUAUAUAUGAAAAUCAUAUAAUGCAAAUACCGUACCGUUUCUGGGAUAAUAGUUUUAUUCUUCUCAACAAUCUCCUUCAUGAAUCUCAAUAUGUAGUACCCACAGUCGAUGUUAUUUGUUUGACGAGGGCACUUUAUUGAGAUCCAUGUAAUGUUAUUCGACUUCUGCUUCGACACUUUAGCACCUCUUUGAGCUCGAUAAACUUUUAAGGCACUAUCGAAUGAAUAAAUGUGAUUAUUAGAGCAUGAAUAUUUAUAUAUAUAUAUAUAUAUAAAUAUUUAUGCUCUAAUAAUCACAUUUAUUCAUUCGAUAGUGCCUUAAAAGUUUAUCGAGCUCAAAGAGGUGCUAAAGUGUCGAAGCAGAAGUCUAAUAACAUUACAUGGAUCUCAAUAAAGUGCCCUCGUCAAACAAAUAACAUCGACUGUGGGUAGUACGUAUUGAGAUUCAUGAAGGAGAUUGUUGAGAAGAAUAAAACUAUUAUCCCAGAAACGGUACGGUAUUUUCAUUAUAUGAUUUUCAUAUAUAAAUUAUCUAUAUAUUUGAUACUAACUUAAUAUAAUAUGUUCAAUUUUUAUAUUGCAGUACUUUGCCAAUUCCAGUCCAUCAUAUUCUGAGGAAGAUCUGAUGGAAUUAAAGGAAGAAUGGUGUCAGUACGUGCUUGACAUGAAAAUUAUUUGAUUUUCUGGGAAAUAGCUUCUGCUGGGCAAGGGAUCUGAAUAUUAUAUGGUAGCUAGUGCAUAUUAUGUAUAUUCUGUUAGUUAUUAUAUGUAAAUGAUCAUAGGACACAAUAUAUGAACAUGCAUAUGGAUCUGAAUGUAGUUUAGGUUGUAAAUUAGGUUAUAUAUAUGUAUCUGAAUGUAGUUAAUUAGGUUGUAAAUUACAGAGUUACAGAGUUACAUAUAUGUUAAUUAAGUUACAGAGUUUCUGAUUUCUGUUCUACUGAUUGUGUGAACUGCUUAUGGUAUUUGAAUAUGUUUUGUUGUUGUGUGCACUGAUUGUGAACUGAUUUUGGAUCAAAAUAAUUUUGGAUCAAAAUAAUUUUGGAUAUAAAGAUAAAAGACAGCGCUUUAUAAAAAAAAUGUCAUAAAAAGCUAAAAAGCGCUUUUCAUUUCAAAUAUUUAAUUUACAGCGUUUAAAAAAAAAAAACACAUUUUACAACGCUUUUUUUAAAAAGCGCUGUAAAAUGUUGUUGUAAAGCUCUAUAAUGGUGUACAUUUUACAACGCUUUCUUGAGAAAGCGCUGUAAAAUGUACAACAAAAGCGCUGUAAAAUGCAGACCCAUAAUUUCAUAUAAUGGAUGUGCAUUUUACAGCGCUUUUGUUAAAAAGCGCUCUAAAAGCAGACCCAUAACUCAUAUAAUGGGUGUGCAUUUUACAACGUUUUUUUGAAAAAGCGCUGUAAAAUGUGCAUAACAAGCGCGCGUUAUAUUUACAUGUUUUAUAGCGCUUUUUUAAAAGCGCUGUUGAAUCUUUUACAGCGCUCGAUUCCACAACGCUUUUUUUUUUUGUUUUGAAAAAACGUUGUAAAUGGAUUAAAAAAAGCGCUGUAAAAUGCAGUUUUUCGCGUAGUGAAUAAAACAUAAGACAUAACAAGUAAAUUCUUCCAGCCAAGACCAAGAAGAUCUUGGAAUUUUACAAAUAUCACUAGUUGGAUAUUUACAGAUUUACUUGUCUAUUUAAAUACUUUAAACAGUUAUGAAAUAUUGUUGUGCAUCAAAGAGCAUGCGUUAAUUCUACCAUCAAAGCUUGUAUGAAAUCCUCCACCCAAAUGAUUUCAUAUUCUUAUCUAUCAUCUUCAUGGAAUAAAUGGUAGUAUUUUACUCUUCAAUGCAAGUAGGUUGAGACAUUAUUUUAGUGAACGAUAUGAAAUGUUAAGUGUUCUAUAUGACAAGUAUGAAGAGAGUUUUGUUGCUUAAGUUUAUUUUAUAUUUUUGUUUUGUUGAUUUUUAUUGUAUCAAAUAAUGUUUUUGUUUUAUAAAUUUGUAAAUAAAUUAAAUAUCAAACAAUAUUUUAUUUCAUAUAAUUAAGAUGUGAAUAGAGCACCAAUUUAAAUGUAACUAUUUUUUUUUAUGUGUCUAUUUAUUUGUAAAAGUUUGAUAUUGUAAGUUAAGAACAACUUUUAAAUUUUGUAUGAAUCAGUUGUAAAAUGUUAAUUAAUAAUACCAUUAUAAAUAAUAAUUUUUUUUCUCUAAAUUUUUAAUAAGUUAAAUAGCUUUUAAAUCCUUUAAAUUUAAAAUUUGAUUUUUAAUCCUUAUAAAAAAUUUGUAAUAUUUUAAUAUAUAAUUUUUUUUUAUUCACUUUGAAUCUUUAUUUUCAAAAACUUAUACUUUUAAUUCCUCAAAAAUAUAAAAUUAAAAUGCAAAAUAAAAAUAACUAAGUUUUUAUAAAAAUUAAACGUGAAAUUUCAUAGUUUUAUAUGAAUUAAAAAAAUAUUGAAUAUAUUUUAUACAAAGAUCAUCUCUAUUCUUAUAAAGUUGUUUUAUAAGACUAAACACUUAAGAUGGAGAAUUUGAACAUGUUAUCUCUCCAAUCUCCAAACCUCGAAAACAUAUUAUCAUUUCAUUUCUUAAUUAAAUCUAAACAUAUUUUGUUACAAAAUAUGAUAUUGUAAUAAACAAAAGAAAAUGAAGAUAUUGUGGUUGUCUAUGUAGAUCAAAUGUGUAUGUUUAUCCAAUUCCCUUUUUUUAGUUUUAUAAUAUAUUAGUUUAAUUAUAAUUUUGAUCUCCCUGUUUCAGUUGAAUUGUAAAAGUAGUAUUUCAUUUUAUUUCUCCAUAAUUUUGGUCUCUUAAACAGAAUUUUGAUCCAAAACUUGAUGAAGUUUUAUUUUUUCAAGUCACACCACACUAUUUAUAAUAAUAAAUUUCAGGUACAAUUGUUGCACCACGAGAUCUUAAGACAUGAUGUGACUUAAAUAAACGCAAAAAAAUGAUACUUUAUCAAGUUUUGGACUAAAAUUCUAUUUAGAGAUCAAAACUGAAGAAAAAUAAAAUAAAAUGACUACUUUUACAGUUCAGUUAAAAUAGAGGGGUAAAACUACAAUUAAACUUAAAAUAUUUAAAAAUCGAAAAAGAAAAAUAAAGAAUGAUUACUCCAUUAUUUAGUUUCGGCCCCUUCCUCAUAUUUUGGAAUAAGCAGGAACGGAGUUUGUUUGUUGGCCAACAAAACUAGUAAUGAACGAUUGGACUCAUGAUACUAUUACUAUCAUAGGAUUCAAUUUCAGUUUGUCCUUCUCCAUUAACUUCUGUCAUCACUCUGUUUUUAUUUAUUUUUUAUCGUUCAAGAUAUCUGUCUGUUGAUUGAAGGUUUUUACGCAGCAGCAGAUUCGACUCGUGAUUCAGAAAUUUCUUUAAAUAAAUAAUAUGGUGAUACCCUAUAUUAUAAUUUAUAACCUAUAUAUGAUAACUUACAAAUAUUAUUAAAAUAUAUUACACAUUAAUAUUGAUAGAUUUGUUAUAUAUCAUAUUUUUUUUAUGUAAAGAUAUUUAUAUAUAUCAUUCAUUGAAUUUAUAUUUUUCUUUUCUUUCACUUCCUAUUCAUUUUCUUUUAUAUCAAAUAAUAAAAUAAUCAUCUCACUAACUACCUACUUUUAUUCCUUGGCAUUAUACUCUAUUUUAUUUAUUAUUAUUAAGAUGGCUAGGAUGGCCCCACAUAUAUUUCAUAUGUUCUUCGUAGAUAAUGAUAGUAUAAUUUGCCCAACCUUCUUUAUUUAACUAUCGUGUCCAUUUAUUAUAGGCUUACAAUAAUCUUCUUUCUUCUUUCAGUGAAGAAAUUAAAGAGAACAUAACAAGAUGGAGACGAGUAGGUUGGGAGGGUUAAACAAAGUUUUGUUACAAGGUUUUUAGUCAACACCUCAACGAGGUAUAUGUUAGAUGGUUGUUACACAUGUGGAGUACAUUUACACCCUAAUAAUGAUAUAUUAAGCCAAUAUUUGAUUUAUUUUUGAAGCAUGCAAAGUUAAUUCUAGAUAUCUUGAUUUUUAUAUAUGUUGUCAAGUAGAAUAUAUUUUAAAAUAAAUUUGAUUAUUUGACUUUAAGUUAUAAUUUUAUAGUUUUUAUCUCUAUAAUUGAUUUUUUAUUUGAAUUUAACAUUUAAUUUAGUUUUAUAUAAAUAUAUUUAAAUAUAAAUUAGUUUACUUUGGAUUUAUAUUUAUCAAAAUCAUUCAAUUGUUGUCACCAUAGAAUAGAAUCGAAUACACCCUAAAUACUAAAUAAAUGAUAAUUAAUAGGUAUUAGAAGAGUAAAACCAACUGAAUUCAAAUUUUAAAAUAUAAUAAAAUAUUUUGAUGUGGUUUCAUGAGUGUCAACUUGUUUUGGUGGUUGUUGUUGUUAUUUUUAAUUCUUUUAUUGGAAAUACUUUUUAAUAAAAAAUAUACAAUAAAAAAAACUAGCUUUUUGGAUAUUCAUGAACAAGAAACGUUGCAUGUGUUGUUGUUAUGCACAAUAAUUUUGUCAUAGUCCUUAAAGCAAGACAGCUAGCUUCAAGCAAAGUUUUCUAUGCCAAAAAGAAGCAUGAUUAGGUUGAAAAGGAUUCCAUGUAAUGUAGCUAAUUAACUAAUCUUAAAUAUGUUUUAAAAAAUAAAUCAUAAAUGGACUAUAUAUGUCAAUUUUAUAAAAAGAAUGUAUAUAUAUAUAUCUAAAUAUUUAUUUCUUUUUUACGGUAAAGAAAUAGAAAGCUUUUGAUAUAGUCCUUUUUAUGUAAAAAUAUAUUUCAAUUUCAAUGAUCAUGUUCUUUCGUAUUUUUCCACAAGGACAAAAGGAAAUAAAUUGUAAUUAACAUUAAUAAUUUUUUUUUUGCUGAAAUUAAUUGCAAUGUGAGUGUUUAACAAUUGAUUCAUAGUAUAAGUAUAAACUAAUAAACUAAAUGAUUGACCUCAAAAACGUUAAAGAUUGUUACAAUAUUUAUGUAAUGUUCCUUAGUAUUUUCAUUUUGUUUUAUGUUUUGAGCUGACAAAGGUGCAGUGGUAAGUUGUUACAAUAUUCUCCUUAUUGUAACUUGUAAGUAUUCAUGCCUAUACCAAAGUUCCAAUGAAUGAAUCAUUCACUAUUUUUAAGAAAUACAAUAUUCUCUCUAAAACUAUCUCUAGAAUUAUCUUCUCUUUGCACCAUACUCUAUUCUGAAAUUGUUAGUCUCUGCACAUGAGAAUUCCCUAUUAUCAAAAUUCAUCUCUAAAAUUUAAAUUCCGAUCUAAAAAUUGAAUUGAUCGAAUGUAUUGAAUUCCAAUUUUAACUAAAAUGAAAUUUGAUUAUAUUUUACUUUUUGCUUGUCGGAAUUCUAAAUUACUCAAUCAACUUUUUUAUAAGGAUUAGAGGGUUUGAAAAAAAAAUCAAAUAAUCAAUUUAAUAUUUGCGAAAUGGCUUGAGUUUGAAUUAGACUUUACAAAACUGUUAUAAAGUUUUUUUAGGUUUGAGUCUAAAAUUUACGAUAACCUAUUAAUCUUUUUAAAAAUUUAUUUUAUAUUAACAUUUUUAAAUAAGUAAUUAGAUAUGUUUUUCAACAGAUUAACAAACUAAUAUGAUUUAUAUAUAAACAAAUUAAUAGUUCAAUAAAAUUAAAUAGUUUUUUUGAGAUUUAACAUAUAAUUUUAAAGAAUUUGAAUUUAUAAUAUAUUACAUUUAAAAUCUAUUUUAUUAUAACAUAUUUACGAAUAAAAAACUAACUUAGAAUAAUAUGAUUAAAUUCCUAAGAAUUGUCAAAUUUACAAUUUACAUAUAGUUCAUAAUAUUAAUAAUAUUAUCAUAAUAAUAUUAAUAAUAAGAAUAAUAAUUAUUUAUAUUUAUUUAAAUAAGUUAAUUCAAUAAAUUUUAAAGACUUUUUUUACAAUUUAUAAUUUGAUCUUUUCAAUUAAAUACAUUUAAAAUACAUUGACCUUAUCUUAUCUAUUAUAAAAAAAAAUCUAAUACAAGUUUGUCGUAAACUAUGCAUAAAUCCUGUUGGAUAAUCCUAAAACAAGUAGUUGUUCUUUCUGAGUAUCUUUUAAUUUAUUGAAAAAUAGUAGUGUAUGCAUAAGUACACAUUAACUCAAUUAUUGGCUGAAUGUGCGUGAUUUGACUUUCUUUAUAAGCCCAAUUAUACCCAAUAAAUAAAAUCAUCCAAAAUACAUUGCCGGUGGAAUUUCAAAAAGUAAAGCAUUUUAAAUUAUUAUCAUUAUUUCACAAACAAUUAUGUCGAUAAAUUAUCAACAAAUUCCAAAAAAUUUAAUCUGUAAGCUUUGGGGUAAUAUCUCUGUGUUAUGGAUGUCAAAGAAAAAAUAUCUGUCUUAUGCAAAAAAGUCAUUUUCAUUUGGUAAAAAAAGUUAUUUUAAUAAAAUAUUAUAUAUUAUUUUAUAAUAUCAGUAAAAUAUUAAUUAUUUUUUUUUAUUAUAGACUUAACUAUUAUUAUUUUUUCUUUCAAUUCUUACAAUAUACAUGAAUAAAAGCUAAUUUAAGAAAAAUAUAUAAUUAUUUUUUUAUACAAUUUAAUAUUAAAUUUUUAAAUAUAAAAAUCUGAUUUUUUUUGUGAUAAAAAUAUUAAUUUAUUUAUUAUCUUAAAGAAAAUUGCAUUUCUUAAUUGAUAACUCAUUUUUGAGACAUAUCUCAAGAUUUUUUCUUAAAAGAAUAUGAAAUAGUACACGGAUAUUCUUUUUUUUUUUUUUAUGAUAAUAGUACAAUCGAUAUCGAUUCAUUCAAAAUAAAAAUAAUUAGUUUGUUUAUUUGAUAAAAUAUUUUUUUCAAUUCCUAAAAUUAAUUUAUAAAAAUUUUAAUUUUUUCUUUCUAAUUUAAUUAUUUAUUUAAUUUUAAAUAAUAAUUUGAUUAUUUAUAUAUUUAAAUAUCAAUAAUAUUAUAAUUUUUUUACAUAAAUUCUGAAAUAUUAUUAUUGAUAUUUUAAGAUAUAAAAAAUUAUUUUAUAUUAUUAUCUGAAAUUAAAUUAAAAACCACAAAAAACAUUUUGCUUAUUUAUUUAUAGUUUUUUUAUAAUUAAAAUUUAUUACAUAGUUUAUGCCAAAAUGGAAAGAUGAAUAAAAGAAAUUUCAUAAGCCUAGGCUUAGCCCCAUCACCCCUAUCUUCUUCAUUCAACUUUUUGCCUAUUCAUACCAAUCUUCAAUUCAGCUGAGUUUCAUUUCUUCUCAACUGAUUUUGUUCAAAGUUUACAAUUUUUCCUUUGAAAAAAAUUGGGUUUUAACAUUUCAUUUUAUUUGGGUUGAAGAAUUGUUGGUUUCUAUGAAAAGGCAAAAAUUAUUGAUUUUGUGAGGAAAAUGAAAACUUGGGUUUGAUUGAAUCGAGGAAAAGACUCGAACUUUGCAUAUUGCAAAACUUGUGUUUUUAAUUUUCUAUGGCGAAAAUGUGGAUCUUGUAAAGCUAUUGAUUUGAUCGAGAAAAAGAAGGAAAAAUAAAUAAAUAAAAAAAGAUACUUUUUUUAUCAGCUUCAGGUGGAUCAACUUUUUUCCUCAGUCAUAGGAGAAGAAGAAGAAGCUUAAAAAGGUGAAGUAGCUUUUUGGGUAGUUUGAAAAAGUGGUGCUUUAUUCAGUGUUUAUUAAUGUUGGAAGUUAAAUAUUUAGUACCUAAAGAUAUUGAGUUGACUAAAAAAGUUAUGCAAAGUGAUUAUGAGAUACUAAGCUAUCAUAAAGAAGUUUAAUAUUUAGCCUUUAUGAUUUGCCCCACUUUGGUUAAAUGUUGAUUUAUGUUUUUUUUUAGGGGAAAGGGUCUUUAAAUGCUAAGAUUACUAGUUUUUAGGUUGUGGCAUUUAAGAUUAUUUGAAUUGAGGUUAUUGUGAUUGUAAGAAAGAAUAUGAGAUCAUCAUUCACCCCAUAAAGGAAAAAGAGUAUCUUUCAUUUUUCUUAAAUGAAGUAGUUUUGCAUUGUUCAUGUUUGUUCUCUCUUUAAUUCUUGCAGAAGGUUAGUGAUGUUUAUGCCACGUGAAAAUUUAGUGCAGAAUCUAUGAAUGAAUCUAUUUUAGCUAUUUAGAAGCGAUCAAGGACCAAGUCUUUAACUCAUUAAGAGUUGAACAUACCGUGAUACUCAACAUACUAUAGUACCCGGACGUGUACCGCGAUAGGAACUUUUUUUUGCUGGUUUUUCCUUUUAUCUUUACUUUAACAAAGCUUUCUGAUAUGAUUUUCAGGCAUUUGUGGCUGCAAGAUAUUACUGUUAUAUGAGCUUUGGUAUAGUCCCAUUUUCGAGUUUGAUGGUGUUUGAUAUAAAAAGCACAUCAUUAGAAGUGGAAGAGGUUUUUUGUUGAUUUGGAUUUGAUUUAAGUGUUUGAAAAUGGGGAUUCAGUGCUCCAGCCUCGUGCCAUGUUGUGUCGACUCCCACGUUAAGGCAUCUACUCUUGAAGUUCCUAAUGCCGGUAGGUAAAACCGUAAAAGCGAUAUGUUAAUGCUGUUAGUACAUUCUGUUGUGCUGAGUAAACUAUCAUUGGUACUUGAUUUUUGUUUAUUGUGAUUGUUUGUUGCAGAGAAUGAGGACAGAAUUGAGGCCAAUAAUGGUCGUGCAUUUCGUGAAUUUACGUUGGAGCAACUUAAUAAUGCAACAUCUGGUUUUAAUGUUGAGAAUAUAGUAUCUGAACACGGUGAAAAGGCUCCAAAUGUUGUUUAUAAAGGGAAGAUGGAGAAUCAAACGAGGAUUGUUGUUAAGAGGUUUAAUAGAAGUGCUUGGCCUGAUACUCAACAGUUUUUGGUAAAUAUUAUCCUUUCUUUUUCAAUGACUUCUUCAAACAUACGCUUAAACUUUCAAUUCUCGUGUUCACGAAUCAAGACCUUGAACUACACAAAACAAAGUUUCGAGCUUGAAAAGUUGUUGAUGGCAAUGUGUGAUGUGCUUGUGUUUAGUGAUUAAAAGGCGAUAUAAAUUUGCUAUCACAGUUGGAUUCAUAAUAGUUAUUAAAAUGGUUAGGUUUGAUUAUUUUUCUGAAGCUAGUGCACAAAGUUGUGCUAGUAUAGUUUCAUUUGAAUCUGUCCUUUUCACUUUCAAUUAAUCGAAACAAUUUUUCGUAAUUGUAGGAGGAAGCUAGAUCAGUUGGUCAGCUUCGUAACCAAAGAUUGGCAAAUCUGCUUGGUUGUUGUUGUGAAGGCGAUGAGAGGUUGCUUGUGGCCGAAUACAUGCCCAAUGAAACUCUUGCAAAACACCUUUUCCACUGUAAUAGCUCAUUUCAUGCAUAUAUCAUCCUUUUUUAUUUUGGAAGGAAAUAGUAACACAGUAAAAUAUAUUGACUUCUGUGUGUUUGGCAUAGAUUUUGGAGAUUAUUUAUGAAGAGAAAGCUCUUGUAAGAAUGGAUUGUUGGAAAAUUGAUUUGAAGAGAAAAACUUGUUUGGAUAUUUUAAGGAAGGUUCAUAUUUUGAAGUGCUAAAUUAUCAAUAUAUGUAAGAUAAGUAGAAUUAACUAUUACUAAAUUUACAAAACGAAAUAAUUUGAAAACGUGAAAAUUGAUCUUGUAAGGAUGAAGCAAUUCUUAUUUACUUUUAAUUUUGAAAAAGCCAGAACUUAUUCUGCGGCAUCCAAACUCUAAACAAAACAUGUUUUCUUUGAUACAUUGUCAUGAUUGUAUUGUUGAAGUGGUAUAUAUGUCUAUAUCAGGGGAUGCACAACCGAUGAAAUGGGCAAUGCGACUCAGAGUUGUUCUACAUCUCGCAGAAGCUCUAGAAUACUGUACAAGCAACGGACGUGGCCUCUAUCACGACCUUAAUGCAUAUAGAGUUCUAUUUGAUGAAGUAAGCUUUGUACUUUUUUUUAUAAGUUUAACAUUAUUUGAUUAAUAUAAAUGAUAUGUUAAAAUUUACAGGAUGGUAAUCCUAGACUUUCAAGUUUUGGCCUUAUGAAGAAUAGUAGAGAUGGUAAAAGUUAUAGCACAAAUUUGGCAUUUACCCCUCCAGAGUAUCUCAGAACCGGUGUGCCAUAUUUCGUUGCUGUUAUGGUUUUAUUUAAAUUUGUAUGCAAAAAGUUGUGAUUUAUUUAGAAUUUCGAAGUUGUUGCAUCAAGUUAUUGAGUCAUAAGUCUUGUUUGUUCUGUAGGGCGAGUAACACCGGAAAGUGUAAUAUAUAGCUUUGGCACUCUUUUGCUUGACCUUCUUAGUGGGAAGCAUAUCCCCCCAAGUCAUGUAAGUCAAAUGAUAUAAAUAUUUACCAUUGCGAAGUUGAAGAUAGCGUAAAUUUGACGCUAUGUUUCUCAUUUAGAUCCAUAUUUAUAAACUUGCAUAGCUAAUUUCAAAAUUUUUGGAGCAGGCCCUUGAUUUGAUUCGCGACAGAAAUCUUCAGAUGCUAACAGAUUCUUGUUUGGAAGGACAAUUUUCUGAGGAUGAUGGAACUGAGUUGGUGCGCUUGGCAUCUCGAUGUUUACAGUAUGAACCUAGAGAACGGCCUAAUACAAAAUCAUUAGUGGCUGCUUUAGCUCCUCUGCAGAAAGAAACAGAGGUGUGGCUUUCUACUAAUACUACUAUUAUUAUUAUUAUUACUACUAUUAUUAGCAAAACAUCGCUUCCUAACUAUGAAGCACUAACACAUACAUGACCACCAAACACGACACUGACACUUGUAAUAACUUAUGAAAAUGAAAGUUAUUGAAUGUAAUACAUGUUGUUGUGUCGUGUCAGUGUUAGAUAUCGACACAUGUCAAACAUUGGACACAUCUAUAGUCUGAAGUGUCGGUGCUAUGUAGCUUCCUCGUAGUAAAAUUGAAAAAUGCCACUACUUAGGCUCUUCUUUAGUGUCAAGGCAAAGACAAAAUGUGACUACUGAAUUUUCUCAAAAUUGAAACAAAAAUUACAAUUUUCAUACUGAAAAUGCAGCAUGUUUUCUACAUUUCUACUUGGGUAUCUUGGUGCACACAUGAAUGACAUUCAUGACAACAGAACACAAACUAAUCAAGCUUUGAAGUUCCACUCCUUAUUAUUUUGUCUUACCAAAAUUCAUUCCUACAAAUUUCUUUCUAGGUUCCUUCUCACUCAUUGAUGGGUAUCCAAAAUAGUGCCACUACUGUUGCUUCCUUGUCGCCACUUGGUGACGCAUGUUCAAGAAAGGACUUGACUGCUAUACAUGAAGUUCUCGAAAAUAUUGGCUAUAAAGAUGACGAAGGAGUGGCAAACGAGGUUUUAAUCAAUUUCUACAUUCCUUUUAAUAUAUUUCUUCCAAUAUUAGAUUCUUUACUAAUUCUUGUAUUUCUUAAUUGGUUAUUAAUUUAAGGUGCAAUAUAUUUACUCACGCAAACUAUGAAAUGAUAUAUUAUCGUUUAUUAUUUUCGAUGCUAACUCGUGAGUUAUCUUCCCUGACACUGCAGUUAUCUUUCCAAAUGUGGACUGAUCAAAUGCAAGACUCGCUAAAUUGUAAGCAAAAAGGGGAUGCUGCUUUCCGGCAGAAAGACUUAAAACUAGCAAUAGAGUGCUACACGCAGGUAGAUUUCUUUUGGUAUUGGACUUUUGGAAAAUCGGCAGCUAUUUUUGUAUUCUAAAUCAAUAUUUUAAAAACCGAAUGGAACUGAAUUGAUCAAUCGGUUGAACUGUGAAUCAGCACUAUCAAUGGUUCGAUUAUUUGAGUGGUUCAUCUACGAUUUCGUCCUGGUUCAAGCAGUUUAAAGCAGUUGAAUCAUGACUCAGAAGUCUCUCUGGUUUGAUUGCUAGUUUGAUUUUAAUACAUUGUUCUAAACUUUUUGCAUGAUAAAAAAUAGAUCUCUUGUCAAUAUAUUUUAGAAUAACUCUUCUACAGUUGUAGUUUGAUGCGAGCUUUUCACAAUGACAAAUAAUUCUUUUGAUUUCUGACUAGAAUUAUGCAUCAAUAUGCUUAUGCGGUUGGUAUGAUAAUAAAGUAAUUGAUUCUUAUAUUUGAUUGUGUAUCAAGUCAAUGAAGGAAGCAUUUCAGUAGAACUCUUGGAUCCUUCCUAUUUAGAAGUUAUAUUUGACAUUUGGUUUGGUUCUUUUUAGUUAAUCUGUUUAAUGAGAGUUGACUGUUUCACAUGUAGUUCAUUGAUGUUGGAACAAUGGUUUCGCCAACUGUCCAUGCGCGUCGCAGCUUGUGUUAUCUCAUCAACGACAUGCCUCAGGAAGCAAUGAACGAUGCGAUGCAAGCACAAGUAAUUUCCCCUCUAUGGCACAUUGCGUCUUAUCUUCAAUCUGUUUCUUUGGCUGGACUAGGGAUGGAGAGCGAAGCUCAAGUCGCGCUUAUGGAGGGAACAACACUUGAAGCCAAACGAAAUACAGGAAAAAAGUGAAGAGUUUGUACAAAAGGUUUAUUGCUGAUUGUGUUUUCUGCAUCAUGAUGACCCUACUGCAUUGUUUACAAAUUUCAUCUUGUGGAUACACAAUAUAUUCAUCCCCACCAAAAAAAGUUAAUGUUUGAGUGUCAUGCUGUGUUUGAAGAAAACAAUGAUUGGAUGAGUGUUGGUAACAGUAACACCCUCCCCCUUUUUAAUAGGGUAGGCUUGGAUGUUGGUUUGGUUCUACUAUGAUUGGAUUAUGAAUAGAAGCAUGAACCUCAUCCUAGUAUUUAUGUGUUUCCUCAACAGGAAAAAAUGUGAUAAUGAAAAGUUAUGUUGUUCAUUGCCAAUGAUGUGUUGUUGGAAUACAUUACAUGACAUUAUUUGCUGUUUUCUUUCUUAUGUGCUGAUUAUAGAAACAAGAGACCAAAUUGUGUAUUUUCUUUUUUACUAACAUGCAUCUUGUGGCACUGUGAAUGUAAUUGUGGUACACAUUCCAUUAUACGAGCUGAACCAAUAAAUAGUAAAUUUAUAAAAUUGACACUUAUACCCACUACACUCCAUUCUCCCAUAGCAUCACUUUGUGAAUCCUACAAAUUGUAGUUUGUAUUGCCAACUACAAAACUAAUUAAUUAAAAUCAUAUCAAGGAGGAAAUUAAUUAAAAACAAACAUUUUGCCAACAUUUCAAAGGAAAUUAUAAACAUUUUGGCACAACAGUGUUUGAGGCAAACAAACUGCAUGUCCAAAUAGGUUUUAUUCUAAUUAUUCAUUCUUCUAGUGGAAAACAAAGCCUAAAUGAGUUUGUUUAACAUCAUAGUAUUAAAAAUAACUUGUCUCAUUAACUCUUAAUGAACCUUAGCUAUUGUUGAGUUACAUGGUUCAUAGCAAAAGUCAGUGAUAUCAUGUCUCAAAACACCUACAAGACUUGCAAGCUGAGUGACAAGUUGGUUUAACAUCUGUACAUCUACAUUGAGGAGGAAUUGAUUUUGUGCAACUACAAUUAUCACAACAUGGUGUACAUGUUGUUGAUUUGACAUAGUAACCAACAUCCUUAUCCUUACCAUUGGAAACCACUUGACUAAUGUGAGAGUUUGAAUCAAAACGAGCAUCAAUAAUAGUUGUGGCAAAACCCAAGAUUAAAAGUAACAAAACCACUUUCAUCUUCAACUCCAUAUUUUUUUCUCUCUCUCUUUAAGUUUGAUAUCUUUUUCUUUCUUUAAUUAAUGUACAUAUUGUACUAAUGCAUUACUCUAUUUAUAGAUAUAUUAAAUUAGAAUGAGGGCGGUUAACUAGUGAUAAUGUCUAACUUCGUUUCUGACCAAAAAAUCUGUCUUAUGUACUCCCAUUUUUAAUAAUAAUAUGAAUUUAAUAUUUGUAUGCAUUUUUAUUGUAAACAAUUUUUAUAUCGUCAAUGUAUUAUAAUAAUUAAAUAAUUUAAAAUAUUUAACUUAUACAAUAAUUAUUUUUGAAGUUAUACCUACGAAUAUUUGUGAUAUGUUGAUAAUAUAAUUUUUUUUUAUAUUAACAGUGUAUAAUAGUUAAUCUCUAAUAUUAUAUNNNNNNNNNNNNNNNNNNNNNNNNNNNNNNNNNNNNNNNNNNNNNNNNNNNNNNNNNNNNNNNNNNNNNNNNNNNNNNNNNNNNNNNNNNNNNNNNNNNNNNNNNNNNNNNNNNNNNNNNNNNNNNNNNNNNNNNNNNNNNNNUAUAUAUAUAUAUAUAUAUAUAUAUAAAAGGAGUCUAUCAAGUGAGAAUCAAUAGUUAUUAUGAGAAACAAGAACAAUUAAUAUUAAUUAUUAGAUUUAAUUAAUACAUAAGAUUAAAUUACUGAAUAAAGAUUAUGUCAUUGUAUUCGAACCAAACAACUCUUAGAUACUAUAUGUCUCUAAAUUGAUUUUAUUUCUAUUUUCAUAAUAACUCGAAUUAAAAACUCCGUAAUGACGAUAUUAUUUUUAUAUUUUUUUGACUCAAGGAUUUUAUUUUCAUUAAAUCUGCAUUUGUAUUGUUUAUUGUAAUAUUAGUGUAACUUUCAAAUUACAAUUCUUAUUAUUGUAAUAUUUUAUUGACUCGAAUUUCAUAAAUUUUAAAUUUCAAUCAUUGUAACUUAAUUAUUGAAAAUGUUAUUUCGAGUUUAUAUAAUCUAACAAUUUCUUUUUAUUUAAGCAUUAUUAAUUUAGAAUUAACUAUUAUAAACAAUUUUAUUAAUAAAUUCAUUAAUUUGUUUAUUGUAAUAAAAUGGUGGCUGUGGUUAGUUUGAAUUAUGAUAUUCAAAAUUUAAUUUUUAGAAGUUCUAUAUUUAAUUUUGAAAAUUAUCUUUCAAGGGAUUGUUGGAAAUGUAAAAAAUUUUCAGAUUUAUUUUUAUUAAAAAAAAACGACGAUUGAAGAGCAUUUUUUAUUUUGAUAAAUAAUAAAAAUAAUAAAAAUACAGGUUUAAUAAAAUUAAAAUUCUUGAGUUAAAAAAAUAUAAAAAUAAAAAUAAAAAUAAAAUCCUUAAAUAAUUUUAUCUCACAAGGAUGGGAACAAGUUUUAUUUUUUAGAUACAACAUUAAUGAAUUUGUAAUUCAAAUUAUUACAAAAAUAAAAAAAAAAAAUUUAAAAAUAUUAUAAUAUAGUAUCUAAGAGUUGGGUAGAGAUACAUUCACAUCACAUUUUUAGUAAAUAAUUUAAUAUUAGACAUUAACUAAAUCUAAUAAUUAUUAUUAAUAGUUAUCAUUUCUCAUAAUAAUUAUUCCGUUUUCACCGAAUAAGCUUCCAUAUAUAUAUAUAUAUAUAUAUAUAUAUAUAUAUAUAUAUAUAUAUAUAUAUAUAUAUAUAUAUAUAUAAUAUGUGAUCUUCAUACGAAAAAUAAUAAUGGUUGUGUCAAGUUUGCUAUAUGCAGCGUCAACCUGGAUAAUCUUGGUGACAAUAUAUUUCAUGACAUUUUUUAUUAUUCAAUUCAUCAAAUUAGGCUUGACUCAUCAAUUAGUCUCCCGCGUGCACCAUGAAAUAAGGUGACACUUUAAGAGUUUAAUAACGUGACGAUAACCUCUACUAAUAACAUAGUCUCAAUUAAUAUUUCAUUUCAUGUAGGACAGAAAUAUCUAGAGCGUAAUUCAAGUAGUCCAAUAACUGAUGGUGUCAAUUAAAGGGGUUAUCAACCAAACAUUUUCAUUUGUUUAAUUUUGGAAGAAUAAAUAAAUGAACAAUAUUAAGUGUCUUCAAAGGAAUAAUCGAUCGCAAAGCUAGAACAUAUUUUAUGAGGACACCAAGUAUAAAAAAAUUAAAAACUAAUAUAUUAAAUUAAUAUUUACAAAUAUAUUAAAAUUAGUUAACCAAUAAGAUUUAUUUUUAUUUUUAAUAUUUUUUAUAUAUAAAAUGUAAAUUAUAUUCGCAACUAAGAAAAUAAAAACUAAAAAUUAGUUAUUUUAAAAUAUUAUGUUCAACAAUGUUUUAAGGAGUUAAAAUCAUCCAUAAUGUCUUUUUUAAUAAAAUGUUUUUGAAUCCUUUAUAAAUUUCUAAAAAGUAAUUUUUUUAUUAUAUAAUUUUAAUAAUUUCAAUAUUACAAUGAGUUAUGAGUACUAUCUCUUUGGACUAAUAAUAAAUAAACAAACUAAUUAUUCUUGUUAUAUUUAUUAAUUUGGACCAGUAAAUAAGUAUUUUGAGUAGCUAGAUAUAUAUUAAGCUAAAAUGUAGUUUGAUCCCUAACUUUUUAAAUCUUACAAUUUUUGCCUCUAUAUUUUUAAAAUUGUACUUUUAAUUUUCUAAUUUUAACUCUUUUUACAAAUUUGUAGACCAUUUGAUUUUAACUAAACCACAGUUGAUGUAGAAUAUUACUUUAAUUUUAGAUUAUUUAUUUAUUACAAUUACUAUUUCAAAUAAAAAGAAGGGUGGCAGAGCUGGCAGCAAUUGUUGAGGUGUGAAGUUGAUUCGGGAGUUGAGGUCUACAUAGAAUAUUGCUAUCUGGAAACAUGAUAUAUAGGGAACUUUUGACGUCACACCUGAAUCCAUUACUUAUUUGAGUCACAAAUGUUUAUAAUUGUGAAUACGUGCCUCAAAUCAUUUAAUUAAAGUUGGUUAAGCUUUAGGGGUUGUUAUAACUACCUUUGACCAAGUUAGUUAUGAUCGGUGAUUAUAGUUAGUUUGCUUGUGUAUACUAUAAAUGAAGCUAUAAUAUUGUAGCAGCUAUAAGUAAUGUGGUUGUAGCAGUAAGAGCUGGAUACUAAGAGAGGUAUAUGCAAUUCAUGAUUCAUAGAAAUUCAGAGAAGAAAGAUUAAGAGAAAAAAAAAAGAUUGAGUGAAAAAACUAGUAUUGCUGGUUUAUAAAUAUUGAUACAUACUAGGAGAUCAAUCUUAAGAAGGUCGAUCUUGUAAAAUCCAAUCAUUAAUAGUGGAUUAAUCUUGUUUAUUUGUCUGUGACGUAGGUCUCCUCAAUUGAGACCGAACACAUAAAAUUUUGGUAUUAUUCUUCCCUUAUCUUUCUUUAAUUUUCGUUUAAUAUUGAUUGUGAAAACUGGUUUACAAAACUGUAGAAAGGAAAACCAAGAACGUUCUCCGUUUCUGAUUUUUUGAUUUUUCAGUUGUGUCAAGAACGUUCUCCGUUUUCAGCAGAAAAUGCAAAACGUUCUCCAUUUUCGUUUUUCUCUGCAAUUCUUUAUUUUUCUAUUUUGUUGGUUAAUUCUUAUCGCAUAUUUCAAUAUUAUUUUAACGAUAAUAUUUAUUGUAUAAAUAUAAAUUUAAUUACUUAAAAUCAGACACAACCCAAUUGCCAAAUGAAUUACAAAGGCCCGUGCCUCGUACCUAAAAAAUGAAAUUAUUUAAUAAAGAAAAAAGAUCUCCUACAAAAAUAUAUACUACUAAGUAAGUUUAGUCAGGUUUUCUAUUAAUAUUUUUAUGUUGAUUUUCUGUUAAUACUAAUUAUUAUAAUGAAAAUAUUAUCCAACUCGCUCUUUUAAAAGUUAAAAUGUAAUAAUAAUAAUUAUAAUAAUAAUAAUAAUAAUAAUAAUAAAUAAUAAUAAUAAUAAUAAUAAUAAUAAUAAAUAAAUAAUAAAAUAUUAACAAAUUUAGUAUUAGUAUCAAUUUUAUUAAUUCUCAUAAUCUGAUUUUAUAUAUAAGUACAUAUAGUGGUAAUAUCUCUUAUUUAAUAGGGUCACCAAACUUGUAUGGGUCGGUCGACCCUACUAUUAAAACUACUAUUACUUGUCUUAUUCUUAAUUAGGUUCUCUUACAUCGUUUAUUAUGAUAAUCAUUAAUAUCAAGACACUUACACUUGAAACCAUGACACUCACAUGAUACGCAAGUUGAGUGACAUUGUAUGUUAACAUCAAGACAUUUACAUAGAGGAAUAACUGAUCUUGUGCAAGGACCUAUUUUAGCACAACAUGGUAAAUAUGUUGUCGUCGACUUAACAUAGUAAUUACCAGAAUCUAAUUGAAAGCGAGCAUCAAUAAUUGUGGUGAAACCCAAGAAAAAAAUUAACAAAGCUACCUUAAUCUUGAAAUCCAUCUCUCUAAUUUUCUCUCUCUUUAUAUGUAUGAUAUAUAUCCCUUUCUUUUCUUAAUUGUAUGUAGUAUAUGAAGAUUGCAUUUUCCCAUUUAUAGAGAGAUUAAAUUUGAAUGAGGGCGAUUAUGACUAUUGACAAUGGCUUACUUUAUUUCCUUUUAAUUUAUUUUUUAAAAUAUACUUAAUCUUCAAAUUCAUCUCUCUAAUUUUCUUUCUUUAUCAUAUGAAUGUAUAUAUGAUUAUUUUUUUUUUGGAGAAUGAUGAUUGCUGAUAUAUCCUUUUUUUCUAAAUUGUAUGUAUACGAUGAUUGCAUUGGUCUAUUGGCGCACUUCUAAGUCACUUCUCCUUUUCUUUUUGUCCCUACGAUAUUUAAGAGUAUUCAUAAUAUCAUUGUUCCUUCGUUUUAAGAGAGGUCAUAACACCAAUGUCCCUUUGGUUUUAUAGUAGUCAUAAUACCAUUGUCUCUUCCAUUUUAGAGUGGUCAUCAUACCACAUUAUGCCUUCGGUUUUAGAGUAGUCGAAGUGUCAUAGUCCCUUAUGUAUAUGAAUGGUCUUAGUACCGUACUUAGAGUGGCCGUAAUAGCCAUAUUUAAAUGUGUAAUUCUAGAACCGUACAAUGGAAUGAUUUUGACUAUUUUAUCAUGGGGACGUAGUAGUUGAUAGUCAACUUGUAUUAUUUUGGAAAAUAUCGCGAAAACCUCUUAAAGAGAGUGACAUAGUCUGCGAUUUUAACCCAAUAAUAUAUUUAAUGGCUAAAAUAACAAUUUUAAUAAGUUUAUUUCUACCAUGUAUACCGAAAAAAUAAUUAUCUAAUUCAUCUGCUUCUAACUUCAACAAAUGGUUUCGGUUUAAGGGAUGUCACUUCUAUAUAUAUAUAUAUAUAGUUUAAAUUUUAUUUCAAAAUAUAAGUUGAAAAUCAUAAUUUUUACAGUGAUGAACUAUUUAAAAAUGUGUUUUUGAUGAUUAAAUAUGAAUGAAUUUUUAGAAAUCUUAUAGAUUUUAAAAAUAUCCGUGAUUUAUUUUAUUUGUAUUGUAUUUAGAAACGUGAUUUAUCUUAGUUAUUUUUAUUUAGACUUGAAUUAUCGAGAAACAAUUUAAAGAAAAAUUUGGAAUUCUCUAUAAUUUUUUUUGGGUGUUAAAUGGUUAGUGAUAUUUUUUAAUAAUAAUUUAAGUCUAUAAAUUAAUUUUUAGAAUGAUGUGUGUAACCUUGAAAGUGGUUUUUGCCCUACCUGAUUCAAUUUGAUUUGGUAAUGUAUUGUAUCUUCUAGUAAAUAAUUAUUUAUCUUAUCUUCUACUUGGAAAAUCUAUAUAUGCUUUCAUUUGUUGUAACUUUUAAGUGAUGGUUAACUCAAAAGAAAAUGUAAUCGUAAUCAAUUUGGAGCAGCUAGACCUCUAUGAGAAUAUGUUUCAUUUUUUGAAUCAUCGUUUGAGUUAUGAGAUGAACGUAAAAUCUUGGUGCUGAUUUUUGGAUCAGUUAUUUGAAUGUGUAUAUGAUUAUGUAAAUAUUAAAUUGUUCGUUUUUCAAGUGUUCUAAUUGUUGGGAAUUGGUGUAUAGAGUUAGAGUAGUCGAGAGCAUCUAAAAGUGAAAUAGUUCUAUAUUUCUUCAAUCAGAUUAUUGAUUAUAUAUUGAUAUUAGUGUCAUUUCCUUGUUGUUGUAACUAGUUGUAAAUUACCAAUAAAUUAUUGUCAAUGUGUAAUUAAGUGAGUUUUUAACUUUAAGUAAGGAGUAGGAGUUGUGGCGCCGCCUUCGCACUCCUGAAUCAUGUUAAAGAUACUUUUAAUUACCCCUGUUUGAAUUUGAAUGACUACAAUUAUAGUUCCUUAAGUAGUUGACUACAUGAGUAGGAGGGACAAGCUACCCCGAUGACUCAUCGUCGAUCAAAGAUGCAACAAUAAUUCGUAGUUAUUAUUAGUAUAAAUACUUGUUAAUUUUAUUUUGGAAAUAGUUAGAAAUCAUAUUCAUCUGUUAUACAACUUUGAGCGAUUAUGAGUCUUAUGUGACACCCAUGUUGAAUGCUUAAUAACUGAUUAGGUGAGUGAAUAUUAGGUUGGUUGUGUGUACUUAAAUUAAACAUUCAAUUAAGUAUAUUUGAUAUUCUAAGUAACAUGCUUAAAAUAAAUAAGUGCAUUGUGUUAGUGUCUUUUUAGUUCUAUAUAUUGUUUUAUUUGAUAAGGACCUAGAACUAUUGUAAGGGUUCUAUAAAUGAAUUUUGUGUAGCAUUUUAAAAUUAAGUUAGACUUUGGGUGUGUUUGAAACUAUAUGUGAAAAAAAAAAUUGUUCUAUUCCACUAUAAUUAUGCACGUUAGUUUUGUUUUAAAAAACUUAAGUGAUUGUAGAACAUCGAGUUGUUAUAUGCAUUUAUGUUCGUAAUUCAUGAAGGUGUGAUAUAUUUUAAAUGUUUCUCUAUUUGUCUAACUUUGUGAAACUUAUAGAGUAAUUGUAUUUACGAUUUAAACACCCUUUUAGUAGAUUGAAACUAGUAGAAUAUUGUUUGAGGAGUUAGUUGAACUUGAAAACGUAUUUGAUAUAUGUGUUAUUUGACGUAACUGAAUGUAGUAAGUUGUUGUUGACUAAAAUUCACAUGUUUAGUUUUAUCUAUAUAUGAUACUGACUAAUCAUGAUCAUGAUAUUCGCUUCAUAAUUAAAUUAUUGAAUGUGAUGUGUUUAAUUAAAUUGUUGUCAUGUUAACCUAUCAUGUUAAGCUAAUUGAUUUUUGACACAAUGUGCUUAAUUAAAUAGUAAAUGUCUUAAAUACAUGUAUAGACUAAGUUUGAAUCUAGAAGGUGGUAAGUUAGAUAUUAGUUCAAUCACCACAAAUUUCGAGGACGAAAUUUCUUUAACGAAUGAAGAAUUGUAACACUCUAAAUUUUAUAAUAAAUUAUUUUCUUAGUUAAAUACUAUUAUAGAUAAAUAAUUUGAUUAUAUAUUUAUUUAUUUUAUAAUUUCAAAUAUUCUCUAAUGAUGAUAGUAUUUUAAUUUGAGUAUUUGAAAAAUAUAAGUAUAAUUAUAGUGAUUAUUUUGAAUAUGAGAAUCUUAAUGAUUAAUGUAUCUUAAAAAGAUUAAUUACUUGAUUUUAUAAAAUAUUAGUUUUGAAAUAUUAGUAAUAUUUUAAAAAUUAAAUUGUGUUUAAAAAUAAAUAAAAAAUUAAAAGAAAUGAGCAAGAUGUGUUUUAUGGAUUAGGCCUCUAUGCAAGAGUAAAAUUUAAUUAAUAAUAAUAAUAAUAAUAAUAAUAAUAAUAAAAAUAAAAAUAAUAAUAAUAAUAAUAAUAUUAAUAUUAAUAAUAAUAAUAAUAAUAAUAAUAAUAAUAAUAAUAAUAAUAAUAAUAAUAAUAAUAAUAAUAAUAAUAAUAAAGAAAACGAAAAAGAGAAUGAGAACAAAACACUCCAAAUUAUUUUUGCUAUUAUAAACAUUAUUAUAUGUGUAUUUGUUGGAAUGUAAUAAUUCUUUACGUGUUUAUAUUUAUGUUUCGUCUUAUUUAAAAUUAUUUAUAUUAAUAUAUUUAUCUGAUUUCAAAAGUAAAUUUAUUAAUUUUAAAAUGUUUUAUUUUAACUAUGAUAUGCUAUUAUUAUUGCUACCCACAUCUUUCAUAAUUAAAUAUAUUUUUAUUAUAUGUAAAUAAUGAUUAAGUUAUUGGAAAUGUUUUAAAAAAAAUAACAAUAAAAUAAGAUAAGAUUUAAAGAUAUACUCUUACGUUGUUUUUCUAGAUUAUAUAUAUAUAUAUAACUAAUUUGAUAUUUAUAUAAUAUAAUAGUUAUUAUAAACAAUCUCUCGUUUGAAAAUUUGUUUGCCGAUCGCUACCUAAUCAUAGUAAUACUUUAUAUGUUAUUAUAUCAUAUACACUUAUACCUAAUACCUAAUGUUUAUAUAAUAAUAUGAGCGCACAGCCAAGCAACAGCCGCCACUCUUGUAAAUAUAUCGUUUUGAAAUAAGGAUUUUGUCGUAAAUUAAAAUUCAUUAUUUUUUCAACUAUGGCAGUGACUAAGGUGGAGUUGUUUUGUGAUAAACAAAUGACUCCAAACAAGAACAUCAGGGCAGCCAAUCCUAAGAAAAGAGGUGAACCUGAAGCAGUAAGAGUAAACGUUCAGGUGCUGGUGCUAUGACCCUUUUCCACCUUUUUCAAAUCGAAUAAUUCAGCGCUCUCAAAAAGCAGAUCAAAGGCUUCCUAUUUAAUGAUUGAAUGAUCAAUACACCUCCUUUAUAUUUAUUAUCUUCAUCAAAAUCACCCUCAUUCAACUGCCACGUGAAUGAAGAAUCAAGUUGUUGACCCAUUAUUUGUUCACUUUCAACAUAGUUGCAAGGCCUUAUGAUCGUCGUAGUGGUGGUCUAAAACAACAUAGAAUAUUUCUAUGAUCUACGCAUCGAAAUCAUCAUUCUACACCCUUCCCGACAAAUCUCGUGUUCGUCGUUUAUUCUGUUUCGAACCUAUAUUGAUAGUUAAUGUUCGACAUUGAUGCAUUUUUUAUUUUGAAUUUCAGUGUCGUCGCGGUUACCCAUAAACAUUGUUUCGAGUCUUCCAAUAUUUUAGAUUUCUCCGCUGUUGAUGAAACUUCUCUAACUUAUACCAUAUGAGAUCAUCAAACCAUGUAAGGGGUGAUAGAGCGUUUGAAUUCAUAAAUAUAAUAUAUUGUGAGAUGAACAGAAAACCGUAUUUCCCAACGAUUUAUAUGGGGCUUGCUAGGUACGACAGUAGCCAUUUGAAAGAUAAAUUGAUUAAUGUGAAAUAUGAGAAUUGUGAGAUUAAAAUGUGAAAUUAGAAAUGUUUAUAAUGUGUUGAUUGAUUUAAUUCUUGAUAAUUGUGUGGUAGUUGAUAUUUGUCAUUAUUGUGAUGUUGGAUGUCGAAUGAAAUUAUGUUCAUAUGUUUGAUUAGACGAAUUAAUGUGAUGUGAUAAUAAAAGAUAUAUGUUAAUGUGGUAUGAUAUAUGUAUACGUGAUAAUAGUGAUGUUUUUUGAUUGAUGAUAGUGAUAUUAUAAAAUUGUGAUGAGAUAGUGAUGAUUCCUAAAGAUGACGCCCUUAAUGGAGUAGUCUAAGCCAAUGAGGGGAGAAAAUAAAUAUUGAGAAUUUACGAAGUGAAGAUUGUUUUGUCAUCAUAUAGGUAGAGCCCGACAAGCCUAGUGAUUCCAGGGAAAUACAACUGAAUGAGUCUGAUUGUGGCGGUCUGCUGUCGAGCCUUAAGGCAAGAUUGUUAGACCUUGGAGGUAUUCGGGUGGGGAAUUCCUAGGUGACUUGGAGGUAGCACUCCAAAUGUCGGGAGCUACCACGCAACACACGUUUACCUCGACUGUCACGUAUAUGUGUCUCGGGUUGAGUUGAGGGGAUCUAUGAGGACAUGACCAAUUUGAAUUGCCCGUCCACCGGGAUGGUGGCAUAGUAUCAAGCCUUCUAACCAAGUACUUCAGAGAGUUAGAAUGGUACCACAUUGUGAAGUAGAGUCUAAGCUCAUGUAUAGCAUUGCAUUUUCUUGUGAUUGUUUUGUUGUGAUUAAAAUGUAUUAUUUGUGAUAAUAAUUUAUGCGAUCAUUUGAUGUUACAAUGAAGUGUAUUGAUUUUCUUUGAUUUUGACUAUAUAAUGUGAUGUUUUCCUUGAAGAAUGUUUGUGUAAUGAUACGGUUUAUUGAUGAUUAAUUGCGUGUUUCUCUUAUUUAUAUUAUACUAUCAACAUGAUUUCAAAACUCACCUCCUUCGUUGUUUGUGUUUGACUGGCUUGGCCAUGCGUUUGCGAAAUCGCAGUUAUUAUAGGUUAAUGAGUCUCGAAGUUCAAGUUUGGGAGAAACUCCGCUCUGAUAGGUGAUACCGGAAAUUAAGAGUUGUAAUGUGUAUUUUACUUAUGUUAUUACAAAUGACUUUUUAUAUGAAAACUUAGUACGAGUAAGCUUUGGGAAUUAAAUCAAGAAAUUCUAGUUAAAUCAAAUUCAUUGAUAUUGUACUAUUUUAAUUGAGGAACAAAGUUGAAUUGUUACAUGUGUAUUUAGAGAAACGUGAUAUCCUAAAGUAGAUAUUAAAGUUUUUAUCCUAUUUAACAAAUUUUCUUUAUCUUUUGCAAGUUUUCUUCAAAUAAUUUAGUAUAUAUUAUUAUAAAUGUUAUUUUGGGGGUUAGGGUGUCACACACACAAUUAAUUCUUUAGGCAUAAGCCUGACUUACGACCUAUCAUAGACUCUUUUUUUGGCAUCGCCUGACCUUUUUAAAAGUUUGGUCUGGCCUGGAUUUAAAAAAUUUUUGAAACAAACAUUUUUUAAACCCUAAAACAUAAUUUUUGGUUUCAAAGAAUAGAUUUUUUAUGAAAUAAAUGCACCAAUUGUUACCUCUCAAACAAAUAUGAAAUGACUACUGAGUGAUUGACUAAUUGAAUGGCUACCGAAUAUGGAACGACUACUAAAUAUGGAACGACUAUCGAAUAUGGAAUGACUACUGAGUGAUUGCCUAAUUGAUAGAAUUUAAAAUAGGAAAUAAUAUUAUUAAUAUAAUAAUAAAAAAUAGCGUUAAUAAAUAAUAAAAUAUAUAUAUAGGCUAGCCUGUGAGGCCUAAUAGGCUUUUUUAUAAGUCUGAGUCUGACCUAUUUAUAUAAACAUGCUUUAAAAAUAGUCUGAGCCUAGCCUUUUUAUUAAAUAGGUCAGGUCAGACCAAAAGUAAGCCGGACAAUAGGCCCCUGACGGACGGCCUAACCUAUUUUCAUCUCUAAUCGAGAGUACGAUAAUCAAUUAAAACAACAUGACCUUAGAUAAAACACUAAUUACGUUCGUCUCAUUAUUUUAUUUAUUUAUAUAUUCUUAUUGAUUCAAAUUGGAGACGAAAAUAAUUUCAGGGGAAAAUUAAAAAAUAAACAAUAGAUUCACACACAAAAAAUACAAUAUAUAAAACACAUACAGUUUGUCACCAUUACAAAAGAAACUAAACAUUUUAACACAACUGGCAUACAGUGUUUGAGGCAAACAAACUACACGUUCAAGUAGCUUUUAUUCUAAUUAAUUAUUCAUUCUCCUAGUGGAAAACAAAGCCUAAAUGACUUUGUCUAGUAAUUAUUAAAACUACUAUAACUUGUCUCGUUCUUAAUUAGGUUGACUUACAUGGUUUAUAAACAAAAUGGUUAAUAUUAAGACAAGUACACUUCAAAGGUUCUAUACACCUACAUGACUUGUAAUUUGUGUGACAUGUUUUCUAACAUCACCACAUCUACAUUUAACAACCUGUGUAUAUAUGAAGAUACUUAAAUCACAACAUGUUGGAAAUGAUGGUGAUAUUAAUGGAAGAUUGUUGGUAAUAAUGAUGACAUUAAUGAGAGUUAGUGUUGUUGUGAAUUGAAAAAAUAAGAAAGUCAUAUAUAGGAGGAUAUCACACACUAGUAGUAUUUAUAAGGUGGAUAUGUAUGGAACUUGGGGUGUUCCCCAAGGGGUACCUCAAUUUUAAAAAGGAGGAAGAACGCAUGCAAAAUUGAUCAUCUCACUUACGCGCACCACCUUUCGACCGACUCGACUGGGCAUGAGCCUGACCUAAAUGGUGUAUUAUUUUUUAGUAUAUGAAAAAUAAAUAAAUAAAUAAUUUAUUUAAUAUUAAAUGAAUGCUUGCGUUUUUAUCUCUUAUUAAUAUGUUAAUUACGUAAUUGUCAUCCACCGAGUCAACAUUCAACAUCUGAUCCAGUCAGUUCUUUGCCCUCAAUUUCGCGCAUCAAUUCUUUGGUCAAAACCCUAAUAUUUUGUCUCACACAUCUGUUAUUGCUCAGUUAAAACCAUAAGUUUGGAGCACACAUUUAUGUGGUCAAAAACCUAAAGAUUGGAGCACACGUUUAGUGUAUCAGACCUAAUGGAUCACACCUUUUUCUCUAAUCCAAUUGCAUAUUUUCUCUAUAAAUAGAGGAUUCUCCUUAGUUGGAAAAACACACCAAAAGCUCUAUGAUUAUGAGACUUUUCUCUCUUAUCCUCCUUUCUUUCCCACUUCUUCUUUUUCUUUCGAGUGAUCUUAGUACCAUAUUACGAGUGGCAGCCAUCCGACUGCCAUAUUGAGAGUGUAAUUCUAGAACGGGAUUCUACAGUACAAUAGAACUCCGAUACAAUGUAUUUGAACUGUUUUAUCUUGGGGACUUCGCGGUUGAUAGUCUUCCUUGCACAAUUUAGGCAGUACCGCGAAACGUCUUAAAGAGAGCGAUCUAGUCCGCGAUUCAACCCAAUUUAUUUUCUGUGGCAUAAAUUGAAUUUUAAAAGUUUUUCAAAACUCAAAAAUAACAUAACAUGGUUUAGAUAUUGUUGGUCGAGUUAACAUUGUAAUUACUAGAAUGAAUAUCAAAGUGAGCAUCAAUAAUUAUGGCGAAAUCCAAGAAAAAUAUAUUAACAAAGCUACCUUAAUCUUCAAAUCCAUCUCUUUAUAUGUAUGAUGUUUUUGGUUUUGUUUUGUUGAAUAUUGAUGAUAUAUAUCUAUUUCUUUUCGCAAUUGUGCGUAGUAUAUGACUAUCGACCAUAUCUUACUUUAUUUCCUUUUAAUCUUCAAAUUUAUCUCUCUAAUUUUCUCUUUUUAUAAUAUGUAUGUAUAUAUGAUUAUUUUAUUUCGGUGAAUGAUGACUGAUGAGGUUGGAUUUACUCAGUCUAUAGAAGAUGGUUUGUAUAUCAUUAUUAAAAAUGGUAUUUAUGUUUAGAAAGAGUACGUGAGAGAUGAUAUAUUUAAGUUGAAUGUUAAAAUUAAUAAAAUGUCUCAUUUGAUUUAUUUGUUGUGUGGUUUUAAUAUUGACAUACUCGACUUUGUCAUGUGAAUAAACGGAUAAUUUUAAGCUUAAAUAGCUUAGACUUAAUUCUAGAAAUAGAAAAAUAUGUUAUAUGUUAUCAAUUUUAUUGACGAUUGCUCUGGCUAUAGUUUUGUAUAUCUUACGAAAAAUAACAGUGAAAUGCUUGCUAUGUUUAAGAUUUUUGUAACAUAAGUUGAAAAUCAAUUCAAUUGAAAGAUUAAGAUGUUUCGUAGUGAUAGAGGAAUGUAGUAUGAUUCUCACAUAUUUAAUUAUUUUCAUAAUUGAAUGGAAUUAUACAUGAAACAAAUAUAACUUUUACUGAAGAAUUGAUUAUUGCUAUUAUACUUAAUUUUAGUGUUUUACCUCAUUGGUGGGAGCAUUUUAUAGACUAAAAGUUUUUACCUCAACACCACUUUCUUUUGUUAAUUGUAUGCAUAUGAUGAUUGCAUUUUCCUAUUUACAGAUAGAUUAAAUUUAAAUGAGGGUGGUUAUGACUAUUGACAAUGUCUUGCUUUAUUUCUUUUAAAUUUUUCUUUCUUAGAAUAUAUAAUAAAUACCAUCAUAAUUAACUCAUACAACUAUAAAAUAUCGAAUUUAAACAUGAACAAGGCGUUCAACCUACAAUAUGGACUUUUAUUAGUUGAGCUUUGACUCUUUUUUGACCAUUUGAGCUGGAACUUAUCAUCAUCUUGUUCAAAAUUACGACGUAAGUGGAUAAUCUUGAUUACCUAUUUCAUGACAUAUUUAUAUAGCUAAAUAACACAUUUAGUCUCUUACCUUAAUUUCAGUUAACGUUUUAGUCCUUUAUCUUUUUUUUUUCUUCUCGAUUUGGUUAUUUAUUUUAAUUUUAAGUGACAAUUUGAUCUUUUAUGUUUUAAAAUAUCAAUAAUGUAAUCUUUUUUUUUUUUUUGCAAAAAUUCAAAAUAAAAUUAUCAAAAAUUUCAAACAAAACCCAUAAAAUAAAUUAUCAUUCUCAAUAUAAUGCAAAUUUCAUCAAAUUCAUAACUUAAAUCUUUAAAUAAACUCAUAUUUUCAUCUAUAACAACAUCAAAUAAAGAAUAAAAAUAUGAGUUUAUUUGAAAAUUUGAGUUACAAAUUUGAUGAAAUUUGUAUUAUAUUGAAGAAUAUAAUUAAUUUUAUGGGUUUUAUUUGAAAAUUGUGAUAAUUUUUUUUAAUUUUGGUAAAAAAAAGGAUAACAUUGUUGAUAUUUUAAAAUAUAAAAGAUCAAAUUGUCACUUAAAAUUAAAAUAAAGAAUCAAAUUGAAAGAAAAAAAAAAUUAAAAUUAAAAUUAAGUUAAAGGACCACGGAUAGGCUGUAUGUGGCACAUAAUAGUCUACUAUGAUAAAAUCAAACAGUGGGUGGCAUCAAUUAAAACGACUUUCUAUUACUCCCUUGUGUCUUUUUUAAAUUCAACUUGUCUCAAAUUAACAUUAAUCAUAUCAUUAUCUUAAUUGUAAAGACAAAACAAAUCGUUCCUGAUUUGAAACAUUAUUUAUUUUUCAGAAAAGAAAAAAGACGUAGCCAUAAAAAUAAUUUGUGUUCAGAUAAUAUGAUUUAAGAGUUAGCUAAUGUUAUAAUAUUUCAUGUAUUAGACAAAUAAGGCAUAACUAAUAUUUUUACUACUUAUAUUAAUAAUUUUUAAAACAUUUCUAUCAUAAAAAUAUAUUAAAAAAGUUUCUACCUUAAAUUAUUCAAUAAUAAAUAUAAAAAUAGUUUAUAAAAAAUUCACAUUUCAGAAACUCGUGACGGCAUAUGAUGCACCCAAAGCCAAUAACUAUUUUCUUCCAUACUGAUAUAUUUUUAUAUAGUCAUUCAUCACAUCAACAAUCACAAUACUUUUUUUUUUUUUCUCAAAAUAUCAUAGAGUUAUUUAAGAAUGUCUAUUAAUAAUUUUUCCAUCUUUCUCACUCUUAUAAUUCGUACUAUAAGAAUCCAACAAUACAAUUGUCUCAUCAAAACUAUGACUUAUGAUGGUUCUAAUUGUAGUGUAUGAGAUUCUCCAUUAAUUUUUUUUCUUCAAGAUUCUCCAUAAUUGAUCGCUAUAUAUAGUAACCACCACAACCGUUUAACUAAUUGAACUCUAUAAAUAAUUAAAAUUGUAUAAAUUAUUCUUGUUUCAUUAUUUUUUAUUUUUAUAUAAAAUUAAAUUUUGUUAGAAUAACUUUAAUUUACUUUUGUUUAAAAAAAAUGGGAAGAUGUGCUUAUAAAAAUGAGUAGAGGUAGUUUUUAUUUUUUAAUAUUUUUAUCGGUUGUUACUUUAUAAGAGCAAUUGAUUGACUUUUUAUAAAAAAAAAAAAAAUUUAUAGGUUUUAAUUUAUAUUUAAAAGAAUUUCAAUUACUAUUUUGAAUAAAGCAAUGUCUGAUGUAAGGAUGGUUUAUUUUUUUCCGCAAACGCAAUCGUGACAUUAAUAAUUUAUUUAUUAUUUAAAUUUUUAUUUUUUAUAUACCCAGCUAUAUAGAAUUCAACAAAUGCCAGAAAAAUUGUGUUACUUUAAUUCUAAUAUAUGUUUUUAAUUGAUAAAAAAUAUUAAUUACUUAUGCAAAGCAGAAUACACAAACUAGUGUCUUAAUAUUAUAAAGUUAUAUAUAUUUUUUUCAUAUACAACACUAUAUAUCAAAUAUAUAUUUUUAUGUAUAUGAUAAACAAUCAUUUAAAACAUACAUUUUUUCACCAUUGCAAAAGAAACAAAAUAUUUUGACACAGCUAGCAUGCAAUGUUGUAGGCAAACAAACUGCACUUCCAAAUAGCUUUUAUUCUAAUUAUUCAUUCUCCUAGUUGAAAACAAGCCUAAAUGACUUUGUCUAGAAAUUAUUAAAAAUACUAUUACUUGUCUCAUUAUUCUUACCUACAUCGUUUAUAUAGUUUAUUAUAAUAAUCAUUAAAAUCAAGACAAGUACACUUCAAAGGUUCUACACACUUACAUGAUUCGCAAGUUGGGUGACAUGUUGAUUUAACGUCAAGACAUUUACAUAGAGGAAUAACUGAUCUUGUGCAAAUACCUAUUUUAUCACAACAUGGUAAAUAUGUUGUCGUCGAGUUAACAUUGUAAAUACCAGAAUCUAAUUGAAAGCGAGCAUCAAUAAUUGUGGUGAAACCCAAGAAAAAAAUUAACAAAGCUACCUUAAUCUUGAAAUCCAUCUCUCUCUUUAUAUGUAUGAUAUAUAUCCCUUUCUUUUCUUAAUUGUAUGUAGUAUAUGAAGAUUGCAUUUUCCCAUUUAUAGAGAGAUUAAAUUUGAAUGAGGGCGAUUAUGACUAUUCACAAUGUCUUUAUUUUUUUUUUAAUUUGUUAUUUAAAAUAUACGUAAUCUUCAAAUUCAUCUCUCUAAUUUCCUCUCUUUAUUAUAUGUAUGUAUAUAUGAUUAUUAUUAUUUUUUCGGAGAAUGAUGAUUGAUGAUAUAUCCCUUUCUUUCUAAAAUUGUAUGUAUACGAAGAUUGCAUUGGCUUAUUGUAUGAACAUCUAGAAUAUGUUAGAAUAUGUUAGUGCGUGCUAAUUUAAAAAUUAUUAAAAGUUUUACAUUGAAAGUUUUACCCACAUUUUUUAGAUUUCAACUCUAUAAAUAUUAAAGUAUCACAUUAUAUAGUUUACGCAUAUGAGAAAACUUUCAUCACAAUAUAAAAAGUGUCAAAAUUUUGUGAAAAACACAUCCAAGUUAAAUGCAAUUUUCAUCUUUCUCUUUUCUUUCACUUCUGCUUGACGAACUUCUAAGUCACAUCUCUCCUUUCUUUUUGUCCCUUCCAUAUUUUAGAAUAGUCAUAAUAGCAUUGUUCCUUCGGUUUAAGAGAGGUCAUAACACCACUAUCCCUUUGGCUUUCGAGUAGUCAUAAUUCUACUGUCUCUUCGAUUUCAGAGUGGUCAUCAUACCAUAUUGUCCCUUUGAUUUUAGUGUAGUCGACGUGUCGUAAUCCCUUAUGUAUACAAGUGGUCCUAGCAUCGUACUUCUAGAGUGACCGUAAUAGCCAUAUUUGAGGGUGUAAUUUUAGAACCGUACAGUGGAAUAUCGAUACAGUUUGUAACUUGACUAUUUUAUCAUAGGGACUUUGUAGUUGAUAUUUUUUUGGACAAUACCGCGAAAACCUCCUAAAGAGAGUGACAUAGUCUUCAAUUUUAACCCAAUAUUAUCUUCAAUAGCUGAAAUAAAAAUUUUAAUAGGUUUAUUUCUACCAUGUAUACCGAAAAAAUAAUUAUCUAACUUAUUUGCUUCUAACUUCAACAAAUUAUUUCGGUUUGAGGGAUGUCACUUCAAACGAUGGCAACAAAAGAUGUUUUCCUUAACUACGAAAAUAGUUGGCAACAUUCUGAAAUAUGACAUUCCAAUGGUUCCAAUGAUAGUUGAACAAACAUAAAAGGAUAAAAAAACUGCAUAAUUGAUCCAAUGGGAAGAUAACGAUUAUCUCUGCAAGAAUUAUAUUUUUAGUGGACUUUCUGAUUAUCUAUAUGAUUAUUACAAUGCUUGUAGGUUUGCUACAAAAUUUGGGAUGCUAUGAAAAAUAAGUAUGAAACUGAGGAAGUUGGUGCUAAGUAAGAAGUAUGAUGUGAGUUGCUACAUCACAUUCCGGGGAGGCACAAUCCCCUGAAAUUCAGAAGAUAGCUCAUGAAAUUAUCACUAAAUGUAUGACUUUAGAUGAUCAAUUUCAUGUAGUUGUGAUAAUAGACCAAUCGCCCUUUACUUGUAAAUAUUUCAAAACAAAACACAAGAUGUUGAGUAUCAUGGAUGUUUAAAGAAGUGCAAUUUUUGGGUCUUUGACCUUCUCGAUUUACAGACAAAUAAAUGCAGGAAGUAGCUCUGAAGGUAGUUUUAAUUACAAACCUUAAAAAUUUUAUAUUGCAACAUAAAUUAUUUAGAGUUGGGAAAAAAGAACUUCAAUAGUACAUUUAAAAAGCAAGUUUAAAUAUGUAUUUAGUCUUUGCAACUAUAAUAUUUUUUUAAAAAAAUUUUAGUCCUCGUAAGUUUUUUGUUUGGUUAACAACUCUGUAAAUAUAGUUACAUUUUAAAAUAGUUCUUCCAUCUAAUUUUUGUUACCAAAAUUGUAACUCUGUUAAAACAUAACCAUUUUUUAACAAAAAGAAACUAUAAUAUAAUUAAAUUAUAAUAAUUUUUAACCUAAAAUUAAUCACAAAUAUUUAAGUAUUCUUUCCAACCUAAAUCACGAAUUCUUCUUCAUUGUUUCAGUCAUUUUCCUCAUCAUAAUUUUCAUCACUGCCACCAACAUCUUCAUCCAUUUGAGAUUCAUCAUUGUAUUCAAAUUCAUUGUUAUCAUAAUCUUUUUCUUCGUCUAGUGGUACUUGUUGGACAAUGGUGGAUUCUAGAAUUGACUAUGAAUCAAAGUUUAUCUUCUUGGUGUGGAGAUUAAGAGAUUUUAAGGAAGUGUAUGAAAAAGUCCAAAAAUGAUAGUAUAAUUUGGUUAUAUAAUUGACUCUGAAUCAAAUUCCAUAAGCUUUUCUAGAUUUUUUUAAUUUUAUGAAUUGAGACACAACGUGAUGAAUUCUACAAUGGGAAGAUGACUGAUAACUCUUCAUCAUAUGCAUAUUUUUCAUUAUUUUUAAUCUUAUUUAUCUUUUAUUCAUUAGUUAAUUUAAGGAUUUAUUUGAUAUAUUUUGUUAAUUUUAUUAAUUUGUUUUAAGAAAUGUUUAUGUUCUUAUUUCCUUGAUUAAGUAGAGAUUUUUUGGAGUUUUGUGUUGUUACUUUGUUUUAAUGUAGUGCUGAAUUUUGGUGAGAAAUCAACAUGAUAUAUGUGGAGUAUUUAAGUCAUAUUUGGAGUUGUAGAUGUCCAAUUGGAGUCAAACCAUGUGCAAAUGAAAGAUAAAAUCCAUAGCUACAACUUUAAUGAAGACGCCAAAACCAAAUUCAGACUCAAAAGAUGAGAAAAAUGCACUCAACGCCAAACAUAAGAUGAUGUGCGCCUGAAGCGCAUUUCAGCGCUCAAGACCUGCCGCAGCGCAUCGGAAGCGCACAAUGCGUAGAAAAACACAUUAAAACUCAGUUUUUUCACUUUUGAGGCAUCUUUUUCACUAUUGGAAAGUUGGGAGACUUGUGCCCUACCAUAGAAACUCAAAGACGGUCGUUUCUAACACCAUUGGAGUAGUUUUAUCAAGAAUCAUUCAUGAAUCUUUCUUGUAACUCUGCUAUAAUCUCUAUAUUUUAUGUCUCUGUCAUGAGUAACUAAACCCUAUUUGUUAGGGAUGAGUGUAACAAGAUGAAACUCUUAUUUUCUGAUUUGAUUUCUAGUUAUAUGAAUGAGUUUAUUGAAUUAUUUUUCUCAUCUCUGCACUUAAUGUUUUUUAUUUCUUGAUCAACAUUUACAUGUUCUACGAUUCGUAUUUUGAAACGGAAGUGGACUUUAUGAAUGCUUGAGAUAAGAAAUUUAUGAAUUUGUAGUCUAGGGAUAGAUGCAAGUCAUGAAACCAAUUAAAUUAGUUGCAGAGACAAUAUUUAAAAAGAGAAUUCAUGUACGGUCAUGUUUAAUUAUAAUCUUAAAUUCACUAAGGAAUUAGAGGUUACUUUGAAAUUAAAGGUUUUGUCACUAAGACAUUAGGGCAAGAAUAAUAAAGAGAAUUCGGUAAUAAUUCAAUAAUAGAAUUCAGUAACUAGGAUCAAAUUAGACACGAAAGUUGGAUUUGAAGUGAAACUCAUCCGUGACAUUUUUCUUAUAAUAAAGGAUCAAUUUUAUUAGUGUUGUUAAUGUUAAAUAUUAUUUCAAUCAAUUUGAGAACCUUUUGUUCAAUUGUAGUAAUUAAAUAUAAUUCAAUAGUAAAACGCAACCAUUGAGUUCGACGCUCGGUACUACCGUUUUAUUAUUACUUGCAACGAUUCAGUACACUUGCUGAAACGCUAUCAAUGACAUAAAGAAGAAUGUGCAAUUUAAGUUUUCUAGGGAUGAAGACUAAAACAUUUGAGGUUAAUUUUAGGUUAAGAAAUAUUAUAAUUUAAUUGUAUUUGGAUUUUGUUUGUUAAGAAAUAGUUAUUUUAAACAGUGUUACAAUUUUUGUAACAGAAGUUGGAUGGAAUGACUAUUUUAAAAUGAAACUAUAUUUGUAAGAAUGUUAAUAAAAAAAAAAAUAAAAAUAAAAAACUUACGAUCACCAAAGUAAAAAAAAUAUAAUUGCAAGGAUCAAAUACAUAUUUAAACCGAAAAGAUAUUACUAAAUUAAUAUAUUUGGCAUGACUCAAGUGGUUGGAUAGCGGCGAUUUAUACCAAAAGGUCUCAUGGAUCUUGGAUAGGUUUGUUUGUAAAUUGAAGACUACUUAUCAUUUAUAAAUAUUUUGGUAGGUGUUAUCUCAUCUAAUAGAAGACUUUGAAAAUAGUUGAAUAACAUGUCAUCUAUGAAUGAGUUUGAUCAUAUUUUAAAUUUAACAUCACUAAAUUUGUAAGUUUUAUUUUUUUCGUCUAUUUUGAAAUAAUAUUUUUUGUUAUUAUUUUAAUUACAAUUACAAAAACAAUUUAUUUAAUUACUGAGUCAAAAUUAAAUAAUAAUCAAAACCCUUAAUUUAAUACACUUUAAAAGAUACUAAAUAAUGAUCAUAUAAAUGAAUUAAAAAAAAUUAAUGGCCAAAGUAUUCAUAGUACCUAAUAUAUAUACGAAACUGAUUGCACUUUGACAUAGAGUGGUUUAGUGAUAACACUCUCCAUGAUAAUAGUUUUUGUUAUUUUGAUUGUAAAUAUACUAGUUUCUUUGACAAAAUUAAAAAUACUUAAAUUUGAAUCAAAUACUUUUAAUAUAUCUAAAAGAUAGAAUUACCAUUACACCAAAAUUAAAUAUAUGAGAUUAAUUAAAAAUAUUUUAUAUAUAAUAUAUUUUAUGUUUGUCUCCGAUAAAAUUUGUCAAGAUCCGUCAUUGUUGAUGAUUAUGACUGUUGAAAAAUAACAUCAUCUUCAAAGGAAAUGUUGCAGAUUUUCAAAAGGUGUUGGAUGAUGUAAAACUCAUAUCCUAGUUAUGGUUUUUGAGUAAAACAAGAACAAAUUAUUAUAGAUUUUCUGAUUGUUGUAUUAAUCAACAAAUAAUUACACCACAUCAUAGGAACCAUAAUAGGGGUUUCUUUUGACUCUUGUUUAUUUUUUGGAUUUUGAAUAUUGCAACUGUGUCAAUGUUCUUUCGUGACGCUUAAUUAGUGAUUGUGUCUAUUCCGCUUUUUUAUUUCCUUUAUAUACUGUUAUUUAUUUUCAAAAUAUUUGGAUCGAGAAUUAUUUCCUUUGUUUUUACUUUUUUAUUACAACUGAUUUUGUUGAAUAGUAAAUCGAUUUUUUCUAUUAAAAAAAUAGAUAUCGUAGUUGAUUAAAAAAACAUAGAUAUCUUAGUUCUUAUGUACUACUAGUGUAUAUUAAAUUCCAUAUUUGAUUAAUUACAUAUUAAUUAAAAAAAUUAUAUUGUACUUAGAUAGAAGACACUCUUAAAUUUUUUAUAAGUUGAACUUUCAAAUGUAUUUUUCUUUUACUACUAUAUUUUUAUUUAAUUUACAUAUUUUUUAAUCAACAAUAAAUAUUUAAAGACUAUAAUUCCCUUAAAAAAAAUAAAUACCAUUUUUUUUUAAUUCUAGAAGGGUAAUUUUGUAAAAUCAAUAUUAAUUGUUAACCUAUUUAAUGUUAGUACUAAUUUUUUUUACUCUGUAUAGAAAAUGGUAAAGACAUUCGUACAAACUGUAAAAUCUUGAGUUCAAAUUUAGGACAUAGUUUUCAAUCUAAUAAUAUCAAUAUUUUUUAAUUGAGUUAAAUUUUAUAAAUUUGUAUCAAUUUUUUAAUAAUUAACCUAUUUAAUGUUAAUUAGGACCAAUUUUUGUUAGUCUGUAUAAGAAAUAGUAAAGAAAUUCGUAUACAAACUGUGCAAUUACGGAUUUAAAAUCUGAAACAUCGUAUUAAGUAUACAAUAUCAAUAUGUAUCAAUUAAACUAAAUCUUACGAUAUAAUACCAAUUUUUUAAUUAUCAUAAUUUUUUCAUUAAAGUCUUAUAUAUUUAGACACAAAGAUACCUAUAUGGUUGAUUUGUCACUUAAUGAAUCAUAGUUGAUCACUAAGAUUAUAUAUUUUGUUUUCUCUACAACUAUAUACUUUUAAUCACGAAUUUUUUUCUUUAUUUUUAAUGGUUUCAAAUAUAUCGUUUUUUUUCAUUGAUGUUUUUUUUUGUAUUUAAAUAAAAUAUUUAUGUUAGAAUUUUUUUCAUGUAAUAUGUACGACAUAUAUUAGAUUGAUGCCACGUUAUCUUAUUUUACAAGAACCAAAAUAAAUAAUCAAUAACUAAAAAGUAAAAAGUGAUUUAUACUUUUUCUCUUACCAAACAAAACUCUUAUUAUUUCAAAAUAUUCUCACUAUAAGUUGGAAUAUGACUAAAAAAAUGGUGAGAAGGAUGAAGUUGGACUUGCUAUUAAGAUGAUGAUCGAGCAACACUCUAAUGAUCACACCAAAUUCAGUCUUCUGUACCAACAUUGAUGGUAUCAGCAACUAAUUAAUUGGCAUCAAAUCAUCAUUCAAUAAUGACAAUUGGCCACAAAAGUUUAGUUAACAUCCUCAUAUAAUUGCUUUUCGUUUUUUUUUUCCUUUUUUUUUGUCGAUAAAAUAUUCUGAAACCCAUUUAAUAAUUGCUAUGAGAAUAGCAGACACCUCGUCUCCCACUUUUACUUCAAGUAACACAAGUGUUAUUUGUGAUUUUCGAAAAAAUGUUUUAAAAUAAAUUUUUAAUUAUCGAAGAUAUUAUUUUUGAGUCACGGACCAAGUAAUUUUUUUAAAGAUAUUUUGCAAUAUUUGAGUUGAGUCGCAUAUUAGAUCGCUCUCUUUAAGACGUUUCACAACACUGUUCAAAUUGUCCAAAAGACAAUUAACCACGAAGUCCCAUAAAAUAACGCAUAGAAAAUCAUUAUAGAAUUAUACACUCUUAAGCAUGACAGUUAAAGUCACUUGUAAUAUGAUAUUAUGAUCACUCGAAAGAAAUAAAUAAAAAAAAUGAAGCAGAAAGAGAGAGUAAUCUAUUUAUAAAGGGAUUUUGCAACCGAUGAAAAAAAAAAAAAAUGUGUUGUUCAAUUAACCAGAUCCACAUAAAUUGUUACGCAAAAACUUUAUGUGUUGACUGGAUUGGCAAAACUGAUGUCAAUACUAAAUAAUAAUACACAACUUAACCCAAGUCUUGUCUAGCCAAGCUGGUUGAACAACGACGUGCGCAUGUGGUGGUCGAUUUGCAUGCGUCAGUCGAACAACGAUGUGCACGUGUGGUGGUCGACUUGCAUGUGUUCUCACUCCUUCAUAAAAUUGAUUACUUCCUAAAACACACCUCAAUUGACAUACAUUCACCUUAUAAAUACUACUAAUAUCAUCCCUCUUAUAUGAAACUUUUUUAUUUUUACAAUUCAUACCAACUAACUCUAUAAUUUCAAUAUUAUUUCCAACAAUACAAGUGAGUACAUGUAGAAUCACAAAUUUCUUAAGCUUGCAUCUUUAUUAAGUAAUUAAGCUACUUUAAAAGAAUUGCGGAACAAAAUUAUUUCUAAAUAUGUCUAUGAGGAGAGUUAUGAAUUGUUGUCAGAGAAAUGUGAUAGCUAUAAACAUUUUAAAACUAAAUAUUUAAAACGUAUUAUGAAAAAAGUGUUAGCAAAUAUUAAAAUAUAGAAUAUGAAAUUAAAAAAUUGUUGAAAUCUUACGUCGUAAAACUUUAAUAUUUUACAUAAUCUUCUAAUUCUACAAAUAUUAAAAUUUUACAUUGGAUAAAAAAUAUAUAUAAGUUGCUUCCAUUACUAUAUAUAUAUAUAUAUNNNNNNNNNNNNNNNNNNNNNNNNNNNNNNNNNNNNNNNNNNNNNNNNNNNNNNNNNNNNNNNNNNNNNNNNNNNNNNNNNNNNNNNNNNNNNNNNNNNNNNNNAUCAUAUUAUAUCAGUUAUAUAUGAUUUUGUCUAGCAUCCUAAUAAGAUGGUUGACAGCAAAACAUGGUGAUAUAGGACAUGUGGUUAUGUGAUGGCAGACAAGCACAAAUGCUGCAUGCCGAGUGACAUGUGUUGUGAAUCUACCUUCACGGAUAUAUGCAUGGAGGUUGGAGGAGGCUUUCAUUUUAUUUUUUAAUUUAUAUAACGAAAUAUUUUUUCUACCAAAUUAGAAGAAAAAUAUAAUUAUUUUAACCAAAACAUCUUUAAUAAAAAAACAUAUUUUUUUAAGUAUUCUUAAUAUUGUUUAAACUUAAUAAAACUUAAUUGAUUUAUGUUGUUUUAUAUAAUUAUUUUUAGUAAUAAUUCAACAUAAUUUUAUUAUUAUAUAUUUAAUUAAAUAGUUUCUGUUUUAUUACACUCAAUGAUUUUUAAAAUUUAACUUUUUGGUUUUUUUAGUUUGACACUUUUUGCGAUUGUGAUCUCAAUUUAGAUUUUUUGUCCUAAAAAUAAUGAUACAAUAUGUUUUUAAAAGACAUAUGCUAACACGAAAAAAUAUAGAUAAAUUUUGAUUCAUCUAUAUAAUGAUCAAACAAUAAAAUAAUGCAUUUAAAAUAAUAACAAGAAUACUUAUUAGUUUCAUAACUUCAUCUUUUAUAAUUUAUUUUUAAUUUCUUAAAAUAUUUUUAUUUUUGCUCUUUAAAUAAUAUUAUUUUGAUAUUCAAAGAAUAAACAUAAACAUACUUGAAAUUUGCCACAUCAAUGUAUGUAUGACACUAUGUUUAUGUAAAAAUAUGUUAUAUUAUGUAAAAACAUAAAUACGUUUAUGUAAAAACAUAGUUUAAGGGUGAAUCCUCAUUAUUUAAAUUUAUAGUAGAAAUAAUUUUUUUAAUAAUAAAAAGUAGAAAAUAAAUAUAAUUUUUAUUUAAAUUUGUUAAAAAUAAUGAUGUUUACAACGAUAUAUUAGACAAUCCCUUGUAUAUGCUUUUAUAAUUAUUUUUAUUAUUUCGAAUAGCUUUAUAAUUUUUUGGCUUGCUCAAAAAAAUUAAUAAAAAUAAAAAAAUUUAAUUAAGUCUUAAGUUAAAUUUAUUUGUUAAUCCACCUCACAAUAUAAUUUCACUCACUCCUGGUACUCAGUACUUCCUCCAUUCCGUAACGAGUGUUCAAUUUGUAUAAAAUAAUUGAUCGAAAAUGAAUUAUUCCAAAUUAUAAUAGAACAUUAAUUACUUUUUUCAAUUAUACUCUCUAAUUAUUUCUACAUAUAUAACUUUCAAUUCAACAAUGAUAAUGGUGAAUAUGUCGAUACUUGAUAAAAAUAUUUUAAUAAAAGUAUUAUAUUCCCUUUUAUUUAAUAUUUUAUUAGUUUGUGUAAAAUCGUCAAUAACAUUAUAAAAGAUAAAUGUAAAAUCGUCAAUAACAUUAUAAAAAAUAAAUAGAAUAAUAGUCUAUAAGAUUUAGUUCAAUUGACAAAUGUUUGAUACAAUAAUAUCAUAUUAUGAUUUCAAAAUCAAAACCUAACAAUUAUGAGGGUAUGUUAAAGUAGUUUUUACGAAUAUGUCUUAUACUAAAAAAGUAUUAUACUCUCUUUUAUUUAACAUUUUAUUAAUUUGUGUGAAAUUGUCAAUUGAGUAAUACAAUGUGAAAGAUGAAUACAGUAAUCAAUUUUAUUAAUUUGUGUACAAUUGUCAAUUGAGUAAUACAAUAUGAAAGACAAAUACAGUAAUUAAUUUAUAAAUUUUAGUUCAAUUAGCAAAUGUCUGACAUCGUUCAAAACCAAAACCUAGCAAUUAUGAGAGUAAGUUUAAAUAGUUUUUACGAAUUUGUCUUAUACUAAAAAAAAAAGGUAGAAGUAUUAAUAUCUAUUAAUCCAAACAAAAUUUGUAUUUUCUAAUCUUAAUAAAAUGAAAUUCCAAUUUCAGAUCUUGAUAUCUAAGUAGCCUCAUGAUAACUUCAACUUAAAUAGUUUGAGAAAUAAAAACAAAAUAUAUAACUAGAGAGAUAGUAAUUAAAAAAAACAUUGACCGUACAGUUUGUUUUUGACAAAAACAAACUGCAUGGCCAAAAUACUUAUUUUUUAUUUAUUCAUUCAUUUUCCAUACACACACAAAAAAAACAAAGCCUAAGGGACUUUGUCUCAUUACAUUGUACAUGACAUGCUUGUGUGUGAUUCUUAAAGAACUAAUCUUGAUCUUUGGAUUUGCUACAUGAGUCAUAACAGAAGCCAGUGUUAUCCAUGCAACGACAAAUAGGAGGAUAAGAAAGUGCACAAAUGCAUUGUUUGCAAGCAGAGUGACAAGUUUCUCCCAUAUCAUUACAACGACACUGAGGAGGUAUUGAUUUUGUGCAAACACAGCUGUCACAACAUGCUGUCGUUGUGGAUUUCACUUUGUAACCAACACCAUCACCAUUAUAAUGGAGAUUCAUCAAGGGUCUUCGUUUUGUAUCAAAACGACCUUCAAUUG
rnacentral:lncRNA from 1 species